AAAAAAAAAAAAAAAAAGAGGUAAGAAUUCAAUAAUUGAAACUAAAAGAGCCAAAUUAAGAUUUCUAUUUUAUAACUUAGAACAGAGGAAUGAAUUUCGUUUUCUACUUCUUGUGUUCACUUGUCACUGCAAUUUUUAAAGCUCUUUACGCAAAUGCGGUAAAUUUUCUAAAUAAAAUACAGUGAAAUAAACAGAAAUGUUCAUAAUCAAACAUCAAACGUUAAACAUUUUAAUGAAAAAUACAAAAUUAAGAAAAAAAACUGAGUGAAGUAACAGCUUAUCCACAUGCUUCAAAAGCCUAACUCAACUAACCACCAUUGGUACAGAAAUAAAUGCCGAAUGCAGAUUGAAAAAGAGAGAGAGAGAGAGAGAGAGAGAGAGAGAAUAACGAGAAUUCAGAUCUGGUAGGACCUUCAGUUUGGUCGGUGUCAUUGAAUUCCUUCUCAAGAGCACGAUCGAUCAUGCCGACAAAACUAUCCUCUCUGGAUCUCGGGUCCGAGACAUUGGCCAGAACGGCGGUGACAUUGAUCUCCACCGCCGACCGGGCGUCAAUGACGGCGACGGAAGUGAUGAAUACAAUGAGAUCACAAAUGAAGAAGAGAGCAGAGAAUUCUCUCAUUUCCGAGGUUUUAGUGAAUGAAAAAAAAAGUGAAAGAAAAUAGAGAAAUUAGUAGACGCGUAAAUUAACGAAAGAGAGAGUGAAGCGUAUUGGAAUCGCGCCUUUCGGCUUUUUUCGUUUCCUUCUCCACUCUCCCGCUUGUUUGUUGGAAAAAAUAAUAUUUGUUUAAAGUCAGCUUAAAAAAAUAAAUGGAGGUUGAUGAAAAGGAUACUGUACCACUCAAAUCAGGUGUUAAUCCUACUCAUACGCGCUCAACGGUACCGCGUUCAACAAAUGCCUUGUGUUGUAGCCUUGUAGGUGUUCAUUAGUUCUGUACCCCGCUCAACCCCGCCCACUCGCUUUGGAUCAGAUUUGAGCUUGGGAUGGCAAAAAAAUCCGUAUUCAAUAUGUUUCGACCCGAAUUAAUAGGGUCGGACUUUUUAUUUUUGAAAUUAGAUUUGAGGCUGAUCAAAGUAGAUUUUUUUUAUAGUCAUUGGGUUAAGGUCGAAAAAAGCAAAGGCGACACCCGGGGGCUACCAGGCAAAGGGCCUUUGCCCCCUAAAAAUAAAAUGUUUCAUUUGAUCUCUUUUAGGAAUAAUAAAAUUAUAAAUUAAUUUAAUAAUAAAUUUAUAUUUUAACCCUUAAAUAUGAAAAAAUAUCUAUUUAAUCUCUUCAAAAAUAAUAAAAUUAUAAAUUAAUAUAUAAUAAAAUUAUAUUUUGAUCUAUCAAAAUUCUUAUAAUUUAGUUUUAACCCCUAAAAGAAAUUCUAGAUUCGUCUUUAAAAAAAAUACCUUACCCCGAGAUAAUUAUAAAAUUUCCCUUAUAUAUAAUAUAUAUUAAUAUUAGAUCCUCAAUUCCAUUAUUUGUGUCACUCACCUUUGUAUUCUUCUCCAUAAUUUAUCAUAUUUCUUAAUUAACCUACGGCUUAAAAGUGUUGCAUAAAUGAAAUAGAAAGACAAAAUUAAUUGUCAAAAAAUUUGUAUUCAAAAUGUGAAAAUGUUGCGUAUCAAGAUGGGUGAGGUACAUUAUUUAUUUUUCGAGGCAGGUUUAUGGGGGUUACAUUUUUUUAAGUCAGGGUCGGGACAAGUAAAAAAUCGACCUAUCCUAUUUCGUUGUCAUCUCUAUUUGAGCUAGUAGCAUUAACUGUUUAAAGAUAAUAUAAAUAAUUUUAUAUUAAUAUUUUUAUAUUUUUUAUAAUUUUUAAAAUGGAAAAAUGAAUCAUUUAGACAUAUUAGGCUAAGCUCUAUCUCGAGCUUAGAUUUUUUAGAACUAGGUCUCAAUCUAAUGUAGUUUAUAAACACCUCUAUGUUGUACAUUAUUCCUAAACAUGUUUAUGAAUUGGGUCGAUUUUGGUUUGAGCUAAAUUUUUAUUAUUUGUUCAAGUUUAAAUUUAUUUUGGUUUUAGGUUCAAUUUCAAGGAUUCAAAUUAUCAACUUUUUUUACGAACAAAUCUUAUUGAGUCCAACUUGAAUUUUUGGGCUUGUAGUAUUGAAAAGAAAUAUGUAGAUUAGGCUUAAACUCCGUACAAGACAUGUACCUAAAAUAAAAGCCAGUGACCUAUACAAUACAAAGAUUCGGAGGCCAAUGAUUUAAACAUCAAAAUCCGAUGACAAAGAUUCGAUAAAUAUCCAACGCAAUUAACCAUGUCCAGUUUUUUUAUCAUGGGCGCUAGUGGAGAUCUUCACUUGUAACCUUGACCACGUACCUGUGACAUAAAGAAAUGUCACACUUUUAUCAAAUUUGUGGAUAUCUGGCAAAAAUACUAAAAAAAUAAUAAUUAUAUAAAUGAUUAAAAUUCAAAAACAAUUACUUAAAUAACUUAAAAUAAACAGUAAAUUAGGAUAGGAGACUUAAAUAGCUCACAUCACUUAAAUUUUUGUAACAAUCAUCACUUGUUAAUUUUCUCAAAUGUUAAAAAAAUAUAUUUUUUAGGGCUGGGAGACUUUAAUAGUCGACACCCUUGUAUUUUUUUCACCCGUAUCAUAUUGGUGUAUUUUAUAUGAUUCAAAAAAGUGGUUAUCUGGUAUCCUCAACUCAAUUUUUUUUCAAAUACUCAUGUGAAUUUUUUUUUCAUUAAUUUUGAGAGUGAUUUGAUAAAUAGUAUAGGUUUAAAGAUUAAAAAAGACGAAAAUUUAAAAUAAAAAAUAAAAUAAAUUUUUUAUAAAGUUAAAAAAGGUUAAAUAAAUUAUUAUGAAAAUUACUUAAUAAGCCAAAAUUUACACAACUACACAAGCAACUAAACUAAGGUCUUAAUUUGUUAGGUGAAGAUGAUGGGGCCACCACGAAACUAUGAGGUAACUUCGCCUAAGAUUCAAUUUUUUGUGUCAAAACGAAAAAUAUGUGUUCAAUGUAUAAUAAACAACAGUUUGCAAGCUUGCAUCAACUAUGUAUACGAUUAAAGAAUUUGCUAGGAACUGUUACGUAGCUACGGGUGCUGACAAGGUUCGGGCUACUUAAAAUAAAAAAAAAAAUUAUUUAGAUUUUUUCUUUAAAUUUUAAAUUAAUAAAAAUAAAAUUACACUUUUAUUUCUUAAAAAUGAUAAAAAUUUAAUUUAAUCAUUUAAAAAUUAUAAAAAUAUAAGCUAUUAAAAUGAUAAAAUUAUAUUUUUACUAUCGUAAAAAUUACAAUUUAAUUUUAAUUCCUCUAAAAAAAUUUUCUAACUUCACCCAUUCUAGAGAAAGUAUGAAUCUAUUAGAACAGAAGUCAAAAAAUAUAUUAAAAUAUACAAAUAUCUGUUAAAUACUAAAUAAUAUAUUUAAUUAUGUAAAUAAUAUAAUGAAAUCCAAUAACAUUAAUAUGAAAUUAUUUUUUUUAUUUAAUCAAUAUGUAAGACGUUUGAUGACAUUUAAGUAAUGAUUUUAGGAGAAAAUAUUAUUGAGAAGAAAAAGUUGAGGAUCUAAUUUUAUUUGGUUCUGAAUUUAGUCAAGAUUUAAUACGUCUGUUAGAUAUUUAAAAGGUUUAAAUAUGAUUUAUUUUUUUAAAAUUCAAAUGGAAUAAAAUAACAUUUAGUCAUUAUAUUUGGAAAUUUUUUUAUAUUGGUCUUUAAACUUUUUUUUUGGUCUGUAUUAGUUUUGGAAUUUUGCAACUUUUUCCAAUUAAUUUUUUACUUGGAUUUGGUUAAGGUAUGGUAGUGUGGCAGUUUGAGAAAUUUAAAUAUUUUAAAUAUUUUUUAGAUUAUAUUUAUUUUAAAUUUUAAGUGAUGAAGUGACACAAUUUCAUAAUUUCACGUCGCUCUACUUUAAUAGGAUUCAAGUUCAAUGACUAAAUUAAAAGAAAAAAAAGUCAAGUUUUGAAAUUAAUAUAGACAAAAAAAUCUAGGACCAAAUGACGUUUUAACCCAAUUUAAAUUAAUGAUAUAUCAAUCUUUUUAUCAAAUUCAAAUGAAUCCCUUCACUUUCAAGAGAUCAUCUCAUUUCCGUUAUCAAUCAUGCAAACUAAGUGUAGACAUGCCCCGUAGAAAAGGUCCACUAGUUCCUAAUAAAAUUGGUGUAUUAAUAAACUUUUUAAAAAAUUGUCUAUUAAUUUAUGCUCGAUAAUUUAAGUUCGGGUCUCAUCAUACAUAAUUAUUUUAAAUUUAAGUUAAUCAUAAAUAAGUUUUAUUUAAAUUAAGAUUAAUUAUAUUUUAUAUUAAUUUUAUUCUAAUUAUAAUUGUUCAUAUAUGUAUUAUUUGUGAUUGUAUUAAUAAUUAUACUUUUCGAAUUUGAGUUCAUAUUAAGAAUAAAAAAUAAUUAUGAUCAUGAAAUCCUCAAAUAUGAUAAUAAAAUACUCGAUUUUAGAUCAGUAAUAAUUGAGCCAAAAUUAUAAAUAAAUAAAAAAGUAAAAUACAAGUCCUUGUAUCUCAUUUACACACAAAAAUAAAUUAUUAAAAAAACCAUAGCUGCCCCCCAUGAUUCAUGAAGAGGGAAGAAAAAUCAUGGAAUUUCUACUAAUCUUGUCUGCUAUCCAACAUUAUGAUUAGAUUAAUUUUAAUUAUUAUUUUAUUAUCAUGCAGUAUGAUACUUUUGUUUGUUUGCAUCUUAAAAAUGUUUGAAAUUGACUUCACCUCAAUAAUUUGGAUGUAAAAGGCCAAAAAGAGAGAAAGUUACAUGCUUAUUCAAGGACUGAGCUACUUGCUUUGUUCUAAUAGGCUGGUUUUUUAUGAACCAAACUUUCAAUAUAUUUUGAAUUUACAAUUCAAAUGAUUGAUUUGAUUAAAAUUUUAUUAUUUAAUAAAAAUAUUUUAUUUUAUAUAAAUUUAUAAAAUUUCAAAUUUGGUUCAAUUUGAAUUUAAAGUAAAAAAAUUUAGAUAUUUUCAAAUUUAAAAUUUAACCGUUUGAACACCUUUAAUCGUGUAUAUUAAUUUAUUUUCUAAUGUUUUAGAUGGAUAACUAUAAUAGUUACCUAACUAUGUAUUUAGUUUUAUUUUAAUCAUCCAAUUAUUAUUAUUUAUUUAGUCAUUCAACUUUUUUGAAAUAAAAUAUUUUAAUCAUUCUCUCGUUAUGAGUGAUAGAAAAUUAAAAUGAGUAUUUUUUAUUAAUAUAUUAAUAAAUUUAACUCUUCAAUAUUUAUAUGUUUUAUUAAUUUAAUCUUAAAUCUAAAAAUUUAAUAAAUUUAACUCUUAAUAUUUAUAAAAAUUAUUAUUUUAGUUCUAAUUCUAAAAAUAUUAAAAAUAAAAAUUGUUAUUUAAAAUUUUUAGAUAAAAAUUAUAAAAAUGAUUUAAAAAUCUAAAAAGCAUAAUAAAUUGUAAAUAAAAAUAACAUAAUCAAAUGAUUCAAAAACAAAUGAUCUAAUGUUUAUUUUUUAUUUAAAUGUUAAAUAAACAUGUCGCAGUUAUUUGGUGGUAUUUUGUUAUUCAUUUUUUUUAAAAUUUGAACUUUUAACUCUUUAAUUAAAUUAAAUUUAAAUAGAUUCCAGCUCGAAUUUUUUUCGGAUCGAAUUCUACGACUUCCUCAAGAGUAAACAAAUAAUAGUAUAAUUAGAUAUUUAAUAAAAUAAAAAGUACUUAAUUGCUGCUCUGAUAUCCAAAUGCCGUUAUAAAUAAUAGCCACUCGCUUCGCUCCUUUUCGAGCCUCCCCUCGCUACUUCCGUCCUAAUUUUCAGGAAAAAAUCGCCGCCGUGAUUCAAAACUCAGCCCACUGUCUCCGAUCGUGUCAACUCGUAACCCAAUCUCUCAAAUAUGGAUCGACCCAGAUUCGUAAUCGACGCCGUCGAAGCCGAGCAAAUGGCCAAACAAUCAGGCAAGACGGUGCUCCAACUCCUUCCUUCUUUGGUCAAAUCAGCCCAGUCCGUUGCCCGCCCGCCGAUCUCGAAGUACCAAGUUGGGGCAGUCGGGAUCGGGUCAUCCGGUCGGAUCUUUUUCGGAGCCAAUUUAGAAUUCCCGGGUCUGCCCCUCAACCAUUCGGUCCACGCUGAGCAGUUCCUUAUCACCAACCUUUCCCUCAAUGCGGAGCCGCGUCUUAAAUACUUCGCCGUCUCCGCCGCUCCUUGUGGUCAUUGCCGCCAGUUUUUCCAAGAGCUCCGCGGUGCUCCCGACGUCAAGAUGCUCAUAACUUCCUCCGAUGAUGAAAAGGAAAACAAAAUAAGCAACACUUGUAAUGAUAAAGACCAAGAAUUUACCCCUUUGUCUCAUUUUUUACCUCACAGGUUCGGCCCCGAUGAUUUGCUAGGAAAAGAUGCUCCUCUCCUCCUCGACCCUCGCCGGAACGGCUUGUCGUUUACCUCCGACGGCGGCGAGUACGACGAGUUAAAACACGCGGCUCUCGAUGCGGCGAACAUGUCGUACGCACCUUAUAGCGGGUGUCCAUCCGGAGUGGCGUUGAUAGACGUUGAAGGGAAGAUAUACAAAGGGUCUUACAUGGAAUCCGCCGCUUACAACCCGAGUCUACCGCCAGUUCAGGCGGCAAUCGUCGCUUAUGUCGCCACCGGCGGCGGCGGAGGGUACGAGAGGAUCGUCAGAGCAGUUUUGGUGGAAAAAUCCGACGCCGUUAUCAAACAAGAACACACUGCAAGGCUACUUUUACAGUGCAUUUCACCAAAAUGUGAAGUCAAGGUGUUUUCAGUGUAAAAAACUGUGAGUAUUUAGCUUCAAUUUCUCGCUUAUUUAUGAAUUUAAAAUGAUGAAAUCAUGGUGAAAAAAUGGUAUCUAUGGAUUAAAUGAUGAAAACCCAGAAUGAACAUGUAAAUCACCAAGUGAAUAAUUGUGAUGAUUUGUUAUCUUUUGCAGCUUGGAAUAUAUUGUGUCCUGUGUUUUUGUUCUUUUGUCUCUGUUCUUUAAUGGAUGAAUGGACUACUUUUAGAUGUGAUGCUGAGAAACUGUUGGAUAAAUGCAGUCAUGGUAAAGUUAUUGAUUGAUUGAUGCAAAAAAGGUAAACCAAAAAAGAGGCAAACAUGAGAUUCCCAGUUCCACUUUUGAACUUGGUCGUUUUUUUAGCUUUUGCUUUGAUUGGUGGAUGGUGGAUCCCUGUUGUUAUUGAAUUGCUGCCAUCAAAAGCCAUUAAGCGCUCUCUCAUUACAACAGAUCAUAUGAAUUGGUACUAUAGAUUUGACUCUGGUAAUCUUAUCCCACUCUUCGUAAAUUGUUAAAUCUUUUAGAUUAGACAUAAACAAAAAAGAGUCGACUGAGUCACCAUGGUCUCGAAAAAACUUGAGUCAUCAAUGGUAUGAGAAACAUAAGUCCUUAUAGACUUGAGAAAACAUCAUCAAGAGAGGAGCUGAGGACAAAACCUCUAGUUAAAUUUAUUAUUCCGAGAAACCAUGGCCCUCUUAUGUCGGGAAAAAAAAAAGGAGGCUGAUGGAGGAGAAGGAAGUGGUGGUGAUGGUGAUGGUGGAGAUGAGGGAAAAGAUGAAAGAAAGAGGAAGUGGAAAACGAAGAAGGAAGAGCAAUGAUGUUUGAUCCAGUUUUUUAAAAUGAAAUUUUAACCGAAUGGUUCAACCAGUAAAAUUCAAUACAGUAAUAAAUAAGUGAAUUUAAUAUUUUUUCUUUUUAAAGAAUUUGUGAUCAUUUUAAGGCUGAAAAAAGGAUGGAAAUUGAUCGAUCUUAUCCACCAAAAGUGUCGACUCCAUUAUUUGGCUUUAUCAUAAUAUUGUGGCUUUUACUUAAAGGGAAAAAAGAAGAAGAAAAAAGAACAAAAUAUAUACCCAAUUAUUUUUAAUUUUUUAAAUUAAUAUAAUUAUUCAAAGGGUUAAAGUGAAUUACUGUGGUCUGAAUUCAGUUUAGAAAUUAUUGAAAUUCAUUGCUUUUAUAAAACAAUAAUCAUUAUUAUAAAUAUAUUUGUAAAAUCUAAAAGAUAUAUAAUUAAUAAGAUUUAAACCUACUAAUAUCUCGAGACAUAAAAGUUCGAAGCUAAAGGCUUAAAAUAGGCUGAUAUGUCUCGAGAUAUAAUCAUGUAUUUUGAUAUUUUGACCCGUAAAUCAUAAACUGUUUACAUCUUUGAUUAUUUAUAACCCGAAACGUCGUAAUUUGGCCCAUUUGAGUUCGAUUAACACUUGUAACAUCCUUUAAUUAACCAAUAUCUUGUUUAAUGUGCUUUAACCUUCGAAUUUCAUAAAGUUGCAUGCAUGUAUGUUCAUUUCGAGUAGUUUUGAAAUAGAUAUAGUGCUUUGCAUCUUGCCAUCUUUCAAGUCGAGUUUAAAUGCUAUCUUAAUUUUAUCAUUUCAACUAAAUCCUCUUUUAUUUUUCACAUCAAUUUCUAUAAAAAAUUUUAGUAGCUAAAAUUAAAUUAUAAUAUUUACGAUAGUAAAAAUAUUAUUUCACCAGAUUAAUAACCUUUAUCUUUAUAAUUUUUAAAAAGUUAAAUCAAAAUUUUCUUAUUUUUGAGACCAAAAUAUUUACCUUUACUAAUUUAAAAUUUUAAAAAUUUUAAAAGACUUAAAUAAAAAAUUUUCGAAGGCUUCAAUCUUAAUAUACUAUAAUCUUAUUUUUUUUUUUUUGGUGAUAAUGCUAUGGAGAAUAAUUAGUCAAAUUUAAAUUGCCAUGAUUUUAAUUAAUAUCACGUUUAUCACGAUAUUUUAACCAAAGUCAUUACCAUCGAUUGCGAUGGAUUAAUAAAAAUCUGUAGCACUGCUUAAAUACCUAUAAAUUGAUUAUGUCUUAUAUCAUAUUAGUAUGAAAUAUGUUAGGUAUUAAUCCAAAAUUGACAUUGCAGCUUGUAGUUUCCUUCUGUAUUUUAGAAUCAAAGGCUUAGUCUAAGUGCAAUGAAUGUAAAAAAGAUGGUCAAAAAAGAGUUAAAUAUGCUUGUCGUUAUGAUUUCAAUCUACAACUCAUGAUGUUUAUCUUCAUUUCUUUAUAUUUCUUAAAAGUAUUUGUAGUUGAAUAUAAAUAUAAUAUAUAUAUACAUGUAUAAAAGUAUUAUUUUUAUUUUAAUAAAUAUUUAUAUUUGAUAUUUAAUUUGAAAUUCAAGUAACGUAAGUAUUCAGAUUAAGUCUUAUAAUGUGUAGAUUUUCUUUUCAAAUUUAUUUUGAGUUUAGGUCUUCUAUAUGUAAACCUUAUUUAAAUGUACUUUAAUUCUUAGUUUGAUUGUACUUUAUUUAGAGUUGAUUUUAAUUAUAAUUACUCAAACAUGUGUGUGGUUGUCGAUACUAAAAAUCAACAAGGGAAGAGGUUGGCAAAGGUACAAGGUAGUUCACUAUUCACCUUGGUAGGGCAGAGAGCCAUCGUAGAUGGAGGAAAUUGUCUAUUUUAUCUUUCCUUUUUACUAAGGAGAGAAAGUUUUAUAUGAAAAGUAUGUGAUGCCAUGUGUAAGCAUCUUAUUGGCGAAUGCGUCACGUUAUUGUCUCUUUAAAGAGGUGGCAAUAUGACAAUGCAGGAUGAUUUGCAAAGUAAAAAUUAUGUAUGCCAUUUGAUCUUGUUUCUGGCGGAAAUAAUUGAUGCUAAAAGUACGCUUGAUUAAGCGGUAUUUAAGAAUGAUGUGCGAAUGAAGAAAUGCCACUUUUAAAUAAGAAAGUUAAGAAGUAAUGAAGCUGAAAACUUGAAAGCAAAAUUAUCUUUAUUUUUGCCUUUAAUAUAAAGUUAUAAACAUGAAUGAUUGGUCUUAUAAGGAGUUAUCCAAUAGGAAGUGAUUGAUCUUUUUUUUUUUUGUUAACAAUUAUUCAAUCAUCCUAUUAGUUACAAUAAUUUUGACUAAACUUAACUAUUUAUUAGAUUAAUUUAAAUUUAAAUAUAAUUUAAUCUGAUUUAAUUAUAUAAGUUAAUGAUCAAAUAUGUUCAAUCUAAAAAUUAACUUAAACUCGAAAUAAUAUGAACUCAAAAUAAUCUAAAUUCAAAUUGAUCAAAACCCAAAUUGAUAUGAAUAUAUAAUGACUUGAUUUGAAAACUAAUUCUCAAAUCGAAUGACUCAAGCUCAAAAUACUAUAAAAUAGUCUAAAAUUCAAACUCGAAAUAACUUGAAAAUUACUCUAACUACCCAAUUGAUGCAUAUCGUAAAUUUAUCCAUUAUCUCUUUUGUACCAAAACAGUUGAUUCACAAUAGUUGAGGAAGAUAGUAUAUGAUGAUACAUAUUAAACUUAAUCAACAAAGAAUGACUUAAUUCUUUCCAUUUAUAGUAUAUGAUUAAAAAAUUGAAACAACAACAACAAUGGAGGCAUUCAAGAGGAAACAACAUUCUUCAAUGCCAUAAGCAGCGGCGGCCACGGUGAAUGGUCAGUCCAUUAACAUUGCGAUGCAUUAAUGUCCUUUUCAUCUCCGACGAACAAAUCAUCAGUAGUUCUAAGGAAUCCGUGUGCAAAAACGACCGUCAAUCCGAAUGUAAUGCCACUCAUGAUAUUACUCAUCACAUCGGUCAAGAAAAACACGGCGAUGGUGAACAACGUCAAGACCGUUAUGAUCAUGUUACGGUCGAUGACAAAGCCGUAAAUCGAUAAAGGGUUGUCACGUAAAAAGUAUUGUAAGAACCACGCGAUCAUUAUGACGACAAUGAUGACCAACGAGGUUGGGUGGAAGAACAAAGUGAGGAGGAGGAGAAAAAGCACGACAAUCACGUAGUUCGUCUUGAAAAACACGAUAUUCAUUCUGAUUCUCCGUACCGCUUCAUUUACAUUCGGGGGUAAAUUUAAUGCUCGAAUAUUGAUCAUGUCUUCCCAUUUUCUUCGUGAGCCGAGGCCUGAUCCGAGAAAUUCUCGUGCUUGAACAAUUAAGCUCAAUGACUGUUGUGGCAACUCAGCCGGAAUGGUUCCAUAUGUUGUCAUUUCUUUUUAAUUUUGAUUUUUGAUAUGCAAAGAGUUUUUGGCCUUAAGGGCUAAAUGUCAAAGAAGGAAGAAAGAUGGAAGAAAAUAAACAAAAAUAAAGGGAACAAACUGGUUUGUUGUUAAUUGCUAAAUUUGAGGUCAAGUUUUAAUGGAAGAAAAUAAACAAAAUUUUGUUGUUUAAUUUUGUGGUUUAAAGUUAACCCACGUUGGUUAAGUGUUUAGGUGAAUUCGUUACAUAAAUUAAUUCAAGAUCUUAUCGUAUUCGUGUAAUAAUUUUUAAAUGAUGAGAUCUAAUAAGUUUAAAGUUUGAAUUUCGAUAUUUAUAACAUGUUGUUAUUAGAAUCGAAUCCAAUUCAAUUUGACCUUAAAAGAAAUUUAUAAUGAAACCCAUUACUUUCAAAAUCGGAUAAGAUCAGUUGGUUAAAUCGAUAAUCGAUACCAAUUCAGAAUAAGAGGUUAGAUUGGUUGACUUAUGAACCGAUUGAACCAAUCAAACUGACGAUUAAAUCGGUUGAACUGAUUCUUUCUAUUUCUUUUGAAGUUUACCUGCAUUGCGUUUCUUGAUUACUUUUAGAUUUCGUUUUGUGAAAUCGGGGGAUUGGAUCAACUUGAAGAUCACACUAUUCGACUAUCCGACUAUCUUUUAGUAGAUAUAUAUAUCUUGUAAUUAUAUAUAAAUAUUUAUUAUAAGUGGCAUGUUUUGAGCUUGUAUUUAAGCGUAUGUUUGUGGUUGAUAAUGUGAUUCAUCAUGGAUUAGUAUAUGAUGAUAUAAUGGUUUGGACUUGUUUUGGGAAGCAGUAAGUAUGGUACAUAGAAUGGUUGAGUGUUAAAGGUAUAUUUGGUUAUUAGAUGCUUGGUUAAUGGUUAAUGAAUAUGAAAUAGUACUUUGAUUGUUGAUUUGAAAAGUUUUAGUUGAUUAAGUGAAUUGAAAAAAACUAAAAUUAAAAUAAGUACAAGUGGAAAAUAAUAAAAUAAAGAAUACAUUAAAUUAAAAAAUAACUCUUAAUUUUUUUAAAAAAAUAUAAUUAUCUAAAAAAUUUAACUCCGUAGAAAAAUUUCUCAAUAAACAAACGUAUGAAAGAUUGAAACCUUUUGAAAGAAAAGAAAGGUUAAAACCUUGAAUUUGUUUAUUAAAUCUGUUAGAAAAAACAGUUUGAAAAAAAAUCAAAAGUUGAUGAUAAGAAAAGGCUCAAAAUACAAUUAAAACUAUAUAAAGUAUACAAACGUUAGUGUUCAAUUUUAUCAUUAAGCCUUUUAAAUUUAUUGUUUACUUAUAAAUAUUGAUGUGAGCUUAUAUUCUGAAUAAAAUACUCACUAAAACAGAUGCGUAUAAUUUUGUUUUUGAUUUAUUCUUAAUAAUCUGACAUAUCUUGAUUUAUUAAAUUUUAUAUUAGAUGUUAUUUGAUGAUUUUAACGAUUUUCGCUUUGUAACCAAAACAAACUAAAAGGUAAAGCUCAAUAUAGCAAGUUAGCAACCAUAUGCAAAAGAUUAGCAGGUCAAGACUCGAGUAAUGAAACUUGUGCGUGGUGUCAAAUUAACAAUGAAUCCCUUGGGUUGACGUGCAUAGAGAAGCCUGUUGGAAAAAAAUAGAUUUUUUGGAAACUUUUAGGUAUAUUCUCGAUUAGUAAAAGUGGAUAUUUGAAUAAUAAAAUUAUGGUUUUAUAUUCUAUCCCAUGAAAUCUUUACAACGGUAUAUCAUAUACUCAAAAUAAUUGAGUGAUGAAUGAAAAAUUGAUGUUCAAAGCAAGUCACUUGUGAAUUAUGUCGAGGAAAAUAGAAAGCAUAGUCUCACGUUAGUUAGAUAUCAAGUGUGGAAUAUAUUUAUAUAUAUAAACCAACUAGGUGGUUAUUGAACUUGUUUUUGGGCCGAGCCUAAAAUUUUGGUUGGGUCUGACUCAACCCAUGUAUAUUUCUAGUUAACACUGCGUGUAUAUCUUUUUGGAUAAAAAAUUUUAUUAUUUUCAGAAAAAUAAUAUUUUAACAGUUUUAUUUUUCCAGUUUAUUGUUCCAAAAAAAAUACCACUAUUGGGCACGAAAAUAGUAGAGUUGUUUUAAACUGUUCUUGCAUUUUAUUAUUUUUUUACUCCUAUCUAUUUACCGUUUUAUCCCUUCGUUACUAGUAUAAAUAGAAGGUCAAUUUCCUAUUUUUUACGCAGAAUAGAAAACACAACUCUGUCUUAAAAUCAUUAUAAUAAUUAUUUUUAAAAAAUUAUAAUAUUUAUUUACUUUAUAUGUGAUACAUGUGAUUUGAUCCCUUCUUUUACAUUUAGUGGUUUAUUUCUUCAACUUUUGCAUCUAUUUGUAUUGUUUUGUUGGGGUCCUCUAAUUCAGUGGUGAGAAGAAGGGCCGAAUCUAAGCCAUUAAAAGGCUAUGGUUCAUUUUGAUUGAAAAGAAAGGUAAAGGAAAAAUACCCUUGUAAAAUGUUGAGAAAAAAAAAUCAAAAUCAUAUCUUAAUAUUUAUAAUUUUUAUUUUAUGGAUACAAUUUUUAAAUUAUUCAUAAUUUUUAAUCUUUAAGGUGAAAGUUAUUACUCAUUUUAAUAUGUUUGAAUGUACGUCUUUUAAGUUUUUGAAAAAGUAUUUUGAGAUCAGUUUAUAUAUUUUUUUAACUUAAUUUUUUUUGGUUUGUUGUCUUUUGCUCUCUUUUCUUCGCUUGAGCACUAAAAGUAUUGCUGUUUCUUUUGAAUCGAUUGUAUGUUGUUUAAAUCGAUUCUUUACUUCUUUAAAUUGAUUUUUUUGUUGAUUGAAUCGAUUCUUUUUAUUGUUUGAAUCAAUUCAUUGGUGUGUAAACUCGAUUCAAAUGCCAACAAAAAUAAAUAAAUACAAUGGAUUUCUAUGAAUGGUAGCAACCAAUGGCAAGUAUAUUUUAACCUUGAACACAAGGGUAUUAGUAGGUAUAUUAGACAAAGUAAAUGAGCUAAAUUCUUGAAAAUAAAAGUGUAGGGAUUAAAUUCUAAAUUUGUGAAAAGUACAUAGACUUAUAACAUUUAACCUUUAUACUACAAAAGAUUUAUUAUUAAUAUAUUUAUAAUUGUAAUAAAUAUUUAUUAUUAAAAUAUUAAUAUUGAAUAUUUUUCAAUAAUAUAUGAAGAAUAUAAUUUAAAAUUUAUUAUUAAAAUAUUAAAUAACUUAUUAAAAUAAUAAAACAUCAUAUGAUUAGAUAUAGAAAAUUAAAUAUGUAUGUUUAAUAAUAAAAGUUAUGAUAUUUUAUAUUAAUAUUUUAAAAAUAAAAAUUUAUUAUUAAUAUAAUGGUAUUAAACUUGAUUUAAGUUAAUUUUUAUACAAAAAUAAAAUCACCCAUAAAGGAGUUGUUGUUUCCACUGUUUUACUAUAUAUUGUUUUCUUGUUGUGUUUUGUUGUUGUUUUGCUGUCAUUUUGCUGUUAUAUUGUUACUAUUUUAUUUUAUUUUUUUAUUGUUGUUGUUUAUAUAUUGUAUAAUUCUUGUUUUAUUGUUAAUUUUGCUAUUAUUUUGGAGGCAUUUGUUAAAGUUAUACAUAUUUUAGUGUUAUUUAAGUAUAAAGACUUUUUUAAUUUAAUUUAUUUUCAAUUUGUUGAGAAAUAUUUAUCUUAAUGUUUUUAGUGUAUUUGAUGUAUUAUAUUUUUAAAUUUGUUUUAAUAUGAAAAACUUAUAUAUAAAUAAAUUUAAUAUGGUUGGGCUGGGCUCGGGUUUUAGCAUUUUUUAUCAAAUGGGCCUGAAAUUUUGUUACGAUCCAGCCCGACCCAUGAUCACCUCUACCAAGUUUCCACCUCCUUAAAAAAAUGAUUUAGUUUUUACACAAUUGCCCUCAUUUUUCCUCAAUUUACUGGUUUUUGAAACAAUCAGUCCAUAACCGCUAGACGUUUUACCUUCAGUAUGUCGCCGUUAGAGAGAUCUAUUAAGAAGCCAUCUUGCACACUCAAAGUUUCGAGUAGAUGGUAAACUAUUCUCCCUUUUUUUAAAAGGUUUAGUUGUAAAAUAUUUAGUCUCUUAUUUACAUUUGAUUUGUUUUGACAGGUGUUUACGUGUGCAAGAAGGCAAGUGCUAACCCGUAUGAUCAGGUAAGCUAUCUUCAAAUAUAAAUAAUCAAAAACAUUCUGUACUUGUUUUUUUUAUUUUUAUCAAUAUUUUAUUAGCAGUUGAAUCUUUUCUCGUCCUAUGACUUCCUCCUUUUGGUAAAGUAUUUUAUAAGGUAGGUUCUUUUUUACAAAAUAUAUUUUUUGUCGUUGAUGAUAUAAGUUACUAUUAUUUGGUGUUUUUUUUAGCACACUAAAAUUAAUAAUUGGUGGAAGCAAAAAGCCCAAAUAUACAUGAGGUUCAAAUGGGCCCCUAUCCUAGAUAUUUAUGAAGGAACAUACAUCGUGUCCGAAAAUAAUAUGGUUUGUUCCUUUUUUUCAAACUAAUUUUGUGUUUUUUGUCUAAAACUAUUUAAAAUAAUAUGUUUUUAUGAUUGGCAAAUUAACAUUAAAAUCCAACACGAUAGUUUUGAUGAUAUUUUAAAGAUCGACCUUCUGUAGGCUUUUUGUUGGCUUUGUUUUGGUGUCAGUUUUUGGAAUUUUGUCUUGUUAGUUUGAUUAAUUUAUUUGUCUAUAUACAGAUCUGAAUUUGAAGGCUAAACUUUUUUGAAAGUGUCACACAUGCUGUUGAAGGAUGCGAGAAGAGAGCUGGAUUUGUUUAAUAGUAAGGAGUGCAAGAACGAUACUCAAACUUUAAAUUUUACCCUUUUUGACAUUUUAAUUACUAUUAAAAAUUAUGCAACAACUUUUUACUCUUUUUUUUUUUCAAAAUUUUCAUUUUAGGUUGGACUUCUUUGAAAAUAUCACACAUGCUGCUGAAGGAUGUGAGAAGAGAGCUAAAUUUGUUUAGUACUAGGGAGCGCCAGGAACUAUAAUCAAACUUUAAAUUUUACCGUUUUUAACAUUUUAAUUAAUUUUAAAAGUUAUGCAAUAACAUUUUAUUUUAUUUUUUUUAAAAUUUUUAUUUUAAAUCAUGCACAUAAGGGAAGUGAAUCCUCUAUUUAUAGGCAAAGCCUUAAAACAUCAACGGUUGGGACUAAGUUACAUGGUCCACUAAGAAUGGUGGAGAUCUAAUCUCAACUAACUCCCAAGUCCAACCACUCAUAAUAAAUGUUAUACAAGAAGUGUGAUCAAGUGUAGACAAGCCUAAGUACAUCCUUCUAGAAUCUUCCAAAGGUUUUGUAACGUCCAAAGAAUUCCUAAAAUUUUUAAAAGCACUGAGGUCUGGUGUAUGCCUCGAAUUUGAUAUAAAUCCCAGUGAAUUAUUAAAAUUUUAUUAGAAAAGGAUUUUAUUGUCAAUUCAACCAAUUCGAAUUAAUUCAAACAUCAUUUAUUUUAAAGUGACAGUAAAUAUUAAUUUUGAUUUAAACUAAAAAGAAAUAUGAUAAAUUUCGAAUACAACCAAGGUUAAUUUUAAAAAAAAGUUUGAGGGAGCUUCAAUUCUUCAAUUGUUCGGGUCUAAUAGGGUUUAAGUUAAUCCUCUACCCCAUAAUAAUUACCAAUAUAAUUGUCGUUUUAAAAUUACAUCUAGAAAACAAUUAUUAUCAUUAAAAAAUUAAAAUUUAUUAUUCUAUUUUGAUAAAUAAAUAAAAUAAAACUGUGGCACAAAUUGUUAUAGAAGGGUACAUUCGAAGAUGACUAUAGGUUCUAAUGAGAACCUUGAUAGCAUUGAGUUCUCUAUUGUGUCCACUUUUUGAAGAAAAUAUUAAUUUUGAAGAAGUUGAUUAUAAGUUUAGAUUACGAUAUAAAUAUUAAUUUCACUAAUACGAAUAAUAAAUUCUAGAAAGUAUUAUUUUUGACGAAGUUAAUUAUAGGUUAUGAUAUAAUAAUGAAGAAAUUAAAGGAGAGAAAAUGGAUUGCUUCCCCUCGUUGUGACAUUAUAUAUUAUUAAUUUUAGUAAUUAGACUUCCCGUCUAAUAAGGCUAAGGUCAUAUAUGUUCACUCUUCCUUUCUUUUUGAUUGUUUCUGCUGCCUUCCUCCUUCGCAGGUUCCUGUUGCCGAUUGCGUCAUUUGUUUGUUGGUUUCUGGUUUCUGUUAUGGUGGCUGAUGGAGUGGGUUUGGGGUUAGGGUUGAGUGUAAAGGCAGUUGAUUGGGAGAUGAGGGCUUUGAGUGUAAAGGCAGUCAAUCACAGUCAAUUCCGUACAUCUAAAGAGAUAUAUACUGAUCAUAUAUAAUAAUAGAACUAUCAUUAUUGUUCUAAAACAAAACUUUUACCCACGCAUACUUUUCUAAACCCUAGCUAGCUAACAUCAACAACAAUGGCAGUCCAAGGUUUGCCCGAUGAGCUUCUUUGCUCUUUCUUUCCUUCCCUUUCAUCAUUCCAUAAGAAUAAGUUGUUUAUCCACGAGAUUUCGAUACUUAUGGGGGUCGGUUCCCAUUCUUGAUCUGCCGGAAAAUCAUUAUAAUUCCAGCUAUCCCUUCGACGGUAUCAUGAACCAUGUCUUGAACAACCACGAAAACUUGACAAGUGUCCGUAGGAUUUUUCUUUCGUUAGAAACUGCUACGUACAACAAAUCCGUGAUUUCUUAGUGGAUCCAUCUCUCUACCACUGCCACUUCGUCUAACCUCGAAGAGUUUCAUAUUGAUAUACCUCUCGACUAUUUCAUUAAUUUACCUCGUGCGAUCUUUACGUGUCAGAAACUCAAAACUCAAAACUUGUUUAAAGGGGUCCUAGUCGACAAAAUCCCGACCGACGUCCGUGUUUUCUUUCCAUGUUUCGAGACCGCCCGGCUUGAAUGAGUUCCGAUAGUUUCUUUAGCUGCCCACAGCUCAGGAUUUUCGUCGUCGAAGAUUGCGUUCUUCACUCAGAUAAGAUCCUCUUGUCGGCCACGGUUACUGUCAAGAAACUUUAUUUAGAAUACCAUGAAGAUGGUGAUUCAAAUCGUGUAUCAUCUCAAGCUUCAGCAAGCACUGAUGUUACUGAAAGUUCUAAAGACGCCUUUGAUUUUUUGAAGUCCAUCUCUACUAUGAUAAAGCACUUGGAUUGAAGGAGCAAUUGUUUGGAAAAUUUUAACGCAUCUUGUGAUUGAAGUCAAAAAGCAUUCGUUUCAAGAUUUAUCUUCCUUAUUGGAACAUUCAUCUAAUUUGAUUUCUUUCCUUCUAAUGAAGGUACGUACAUCACAUCUCAAUAAGUUUUAACCUUAAUUUCUUUUAUAUUAUCUAUUUUAUAUGAUAUGAAAUUAAACUUUUUAGUUUUAUAUCUAAAAUUUUUUUUGAAGGGUUUAAUUAAUGGUUAUUACAGGAAUGGUGGGAGGAUGAAUUUGCAACAAUUGUAUUGCCCAGCAACGUUUCAUAUAGCAAACUUGAGACAGUUAUAUUCAUUGAUUGCUUUGAUAGGUAUAUUGUGCUCCGCUUUUGGGAGAAAGCAUCGAUUUUGAAGAAGUUGAUUAUAGGUUAUGAUCAUACCAUUGAUAUGACUGAGAUGCUUAUUGUGCUCCACUUUUUAGACAAAACGUUGAUUUUGAAGGCACUAAUUAUAGGUUUAGGUUACAAUAUAAACAUUGAUUUCACUCAUAAGAAUAAUAGGUUUGUUGCGGAAAGGAUCGAUUCGAGAACUCCGAUAUGACUACAAGUAAAUUGACCGAAACGAAAAAUAAAGUGAACACAAGGAUUUACGUGGUUCGGCUUUAAUGCCUACGUCCACGGGCAGAGGCGAAAAGAAAUUUCACUAUAACAAGAUGAAGAUUACAAGUGUUUUACACUCAAGACACAACCCGAGAACCUCACAACUCUCAACCCCUAUAGAAAACCCGAAAGCUAAAAUCCUAGCUUUCAAAGAACAAGCUUUGCUCUCUCUUGGUUUGGGAUGAUAAAUAUGGCUAAUGAACCUCUCUAUUUAUAAGAGAGUUCAAGGACAUAAUUGUCCAAAACUUUGGCAAAGAUUUGUGGUUGAAAAUGGACACCAACAACCAUCCACUAAUCCACUACCACCAACAACCCACUACCAACAACAACAAUCCACUACCAAUUUUAAGCCAUUUCUUAACAAAUCUCCACCUUGGCUUGAAAUUUACCAAGCUGAACAUCAUAGUGAAUUCCUCGAACUGGAUCACCUCUUCCAAACGCCUCUCUGGCGCUAAUCAAUCCCGAAUACCUAUCAAGUCCAAGCAAUGCUUGAACUUAUAUGCAGGGAUCACCUUAGUUAACAUAUCUGCAGGAUUCUUCUCGGUAGCAACCUUGCUGAUAACAAUGUCACCUUGCGUAACAUGUUCCCGAACAAAAUGAUAUCUGACAUCAAUGUGUUUGGUCCGUUCAUGAAACAUCUGAUUUUUAGUCAGAUGUAUGGCACUCUGGCUAUCGCAAAAUACAACAGUGAAAUCCUGUUGUAAACCCAAACUGCUUACUAGACCUUUCAUCCACAAUGCUUCUUUCACUGCUUCUGCUAACGCCAUAUAUUCCGCCUCAGUCGUAGAUAAGGCUACGGUAGACUGUAACACAGCUUUCCAACUAAUGGCUCCUCCAGAAUAAGUGAAAACAUAACCCGUCAGAGAUCUUCUUUUGUCCAGAUCUCCAGCAUAAUCAGAGUCCACAUAGCCCGUGACACUGCUAGUGCAGUCACUCUGAUCAUAUACCAAGCAUAAAUCUGCAGAACCUCUCAAGUACCUGAGAAUCCAUUUCACGGCCUGCCAGUGUUCCUUGCCAGGACAACUCAUGUAUCUGCUGACCACACUAACUGCAUGUGAAAUGUCUGGACGAGUGCAAACCAUUGCAUACAUCACGCUUCCAACUGCACUCGAGUAUGGAAUGUGAGACAUUUGCUGCUUUUCUUCAUCAGAUUGUGGUGACAACUCUGCAGAGAGUUUGAAAUGUGGUGCCAACGGAGUACUCACAGUUUUCGCUUUAUCCAUGCCGAAGCGUUGAAGAACCUUUUCAAUGUAGUUCUUCUGCGACACACGAAGCUUGCCCGCCUUGCGAUCUCUGUGAAUAUCCAUGCCCAAAAUUUUCUUGGCAGCACCCAGAUCCUUCAUCUCGAACUCACCACUCAACUGCGACUUUAACUUGUUGAUUUCCGACAUGUUUUUGGAAGCAAUUAACAUGUCAUCAACAUACAGCAACAAAUAAAUGUGCGAACCAUCUGAGAGCUUCCGAUGAUAGACACAAGCAUCAUAGUCACAUCUUGUGUAACCAUGCUGAAUCAUGAAGCUAUCAAACCGCUUGUACCACUGCCUUGGGGAUUGUUUCAAUCCAUAUAAAGACUUCUUUAAUAGACAGACAUGGUCUUCUUUACCAGGAACUGUAAAACCCUCUGGUUGACGCAUGUAGAUUGUUUCCUCGAGCUCACCAUGCAAGAACGCCGUUUUUACGUCAAGCUGCUCAAGUUCUAGAUCAGACUUGGCCACCAUGGCAAGUAAUACACGAAUGGAAGAAUGCUUUACGACUGGGGAGAAAACUUCAUUGUAGUCAAUCCCCUCUUUCUGAGUGAAGCCUUUAGCAACCAAUCGUGCCUUGAAUCUAGUUGCUUCAACCCCUAGGAUGCCUUCCUUUUUCUUGAAGACCCAUUUGCAACCAACUAUCUUUUGGUUACUUGGCGGCUUAACCAACUCCCAAGUAUGGUUCUUGUGAAGAGAUUCUAUCUCCUCACUCAUAGCAAUUGCCCACUGUGCCGACUCAUCACACGUGACAGCCUCAUUAUAACUGGAAGGUUCUAUACCAAUGGACUCCGCCACACUGAGCGCGAAAGACACCAGAUUAGCGUAACGCGGAUUUGGUUUGAUUUGUCUCUUCGUUCUUCCAGUGGCAAUGCUAUAUGGUUUUUCUUGAGGUGACUCAUCUUCAUCGGAAUCUUGCACCUCAACUUGAUCAUCCUGGACUGAAGUACCUUCCGUAGGAAUUGGAGCGUCCACCUGACACUCCACCUGCUUCUCAACACCGUGAUCUCCCAUUCUAUCUGACUCCUCCUUUUCCCGGGAAUUUGUGGUGGAUCGAAGCAUGGAUGACUCAUCAAAAGUCACAUCUCUGCUGAUGAUGAACUUGGACGAAACCGGAUCAGGACACCACAACCUGUAUCCUUUCACCCCUUGGCCGUAUCCAAGAAAUAUGCAUUUCUUCGCCCUCGGUUUGAGUUUUCCCUCAUUUACAUGAGCAUACGCAGGGCAGCCAAACACUCUUAAACCAGAGUAAUCAGCAGGAGAACCAGACCAUACUUCCUCAGGAGUCUUCAGCUCAAUAGCUGUUGACGGAGAUCUGUUAACCAAAUAACAAGCAGUAUUAACAGCUUCAGCCCAAAAUUCUUCACCGAGCCCAGCAUUUGAUCGCAUGCAACGAGCUCGCUCCAAGAGAGUUCUAUUCAUGCGUUCUGCAACUCCAUUUUGUUGUGGUGUUCGACGAACAGUGCGGUGUCUCACUAUUCCUUCAUUUUUGCAGAACUCAUUGAAUUCACCUGAGCAAAACUCCAAGCCAUUAUCCGUCCGGAAUCGCUUGAUCUUCUUUCCUGUUUGAUUUUCGAUCAAAGCUUUAAAUUGCUUGAAGUUGAUGAGAACCUCAUACUUGCUCUUCAGAAAAUACACCCAAACCUUUCUCGAGUAAUCAUCGAUAAAGGUAAGCAGAUAUCUGUAACCACCUUUAGAAAUUGUCGGAGAAGGCCCCCAAAGGUCAGAAUGGAAGUAAUCCACUGUGCCUUUUGUCUUGUGAAUCCCAGUGCUGAACUUUACCCGAGUCUGCUUACCGAAGACGCAGUGCUCACAGAAAUUCAACUUUCCUGUACACUGCCCAGACAAUAAUCCUCGUUUGCUUAGCACCGAUAAGCCUCUCUCGCUCAUAUGCCCGAGCCGCAUAUGCCAUAACUUCGUGGUGUCAGAAUCUAGAUCAUCUGAUGAUGACACUCCCGCAACACCUGUAACCGAGGAACCAUCGAGGAAGUAAAGGCCCCGCUCCAAAUUACCACGUAUCACAGUCAAAGCACCCGAGAAUACCUUGAGAACUCCACCUUCAGCAGAGUACCGAAAGCCUUUCUUGUCCAACGUACUCAAAGAGAUCAAAUUUUUCUUCAUUUCUGGAAUGUGCCGAACAUCAGUUAGAGUUCUAACAAUACCGUCAAACAUCUUUAUACGAACUGUGCCAAUCCCCAUGACUUGACAUGCGUGGUCAUUUCCCAUUAGUACUGAACCAGAAUGCUUCUCGUAUGUUGAGAAUGCAUCUUUCGAAGUACUUAUAUGAAAUGUAGCUCCCGUAUCAAGAAUCCAUCUCCCACCAGCGUAAGAGUCGGAUACUGCAAGAACGAUCUCGGCAUCACUUGAAGAAUCUGCAUCAGCUACAUUCGCACGAUCAUUUUGUUGCUCCUGUGAUUCUGAUUUCUCCUUCCUUUUCGGACAAUCUACCUUCAUGUGCCCGUACUUCUUACAGUAGUAGCACUGUAUUCUCUUCUUGGACUGCGAUCUAGGAUGGCUUUUACUUGAACUUCCACCCUUUGCCUUGGAUCUUCCUCGAGCAACCAAGCCUUCGCCUUCAUUGUUUUCGACCACCUUACCAGUGAUUUUCUUCCUCAACUCACUGGAACUUAAGGCAUUUUUCACCUCCUCUAGAGUCAGGUCAUCACGACCGUACAUCAUUGUAUCAACAAAAUUCUCAUACGAGGGAGGCAAAGAACACAAAACAAUUAUUGCUUGGUCCUCAUCAUCGAUUUUGUUAUCGAUAUUAUUCAAAUCCAUGAUAAUGGAAUUGAAUUUAUCCAGGUGCUGGGAAACAGGUGUACCUUCCUCCAUCUUCAGGGCAUAGAGUCUUUGCUUGAGGUAGAGCCGGUUCGUCAAUGACUUCGUCAUGUACUUGCUCUCUAACCGGAGCCACAAACCGGACGCGGUUUUCUCAUCCGCUACUUCUCGUAGCACUUCAUCUCCUAGACAUAGCAGAAUAGCACUAUGUGCUCUUUCUAGCAUGUCAUCCUUUUGCUCUUCCGAAAGCGUGCUUGGUAAUUUAUCUUUACCAGACAAUGCUUUUAGCAAUCCUUGUUGAACCAGCACUGCCCGCAUCUUGAUGCGCCAUAAACUGAAACUAUUUUUCCCGGUAAAUUUCUCGACAUCAUACUUAGUCGAUGAAACACUUGUAGCCAUAAUUUGGAACCUUUGAAUGAAUGAUAAUAUUUUCUUCCUGAUGUGAAAGAUCAGACAAAGCUGCAGUCACAGGGCAAUUCAGAAAAUAUUAUCACUCCUUCAACUACGCUCUGAUACCAAUUUGUUGCGGAAAGGAUCGAUUCGAGAACUCCGAUAUGACUACAAGUAAAUUGACCGAAACGAAAAAUAAAGUGAACACAAGGAUUUACGUGGUUCGGCUUUAAUGCCUACGUCCACGGGCAGAGGCGAAAAGAAAUUUCACUAUAACAAGAUGAAGAUUACAAGUGUUUUACACUCAAGACACAACCCGAGAACCUCACAACUCUCAACCCCUAUAGAAAACCCGAAAGCUAAAAUCCUAGCUUUCAAAGAACAAGCUUUGCUCUCUCUUGGUUUGGGAUGAUAAAUAUGGCUAAUGAACCUCUCUAUUUAUAAGAGAGUUCAAGGACAUAAUUGUCCAAAACUUUGGCAAAGAUUUGUGGUUGAAAAUGGACACCAACAACCAUCCACUAAUCCACUACCACCAACAACCCACUACCAACAACAACAAUCCACUACCAAUUUUAAGCCAUUUCUUAACAAGGUUCGAGUUUUAUUAUAUGAAAGUAUUAUUUUUAAAGAAGUUGAUUAUCAGUUACGAUAUAAUCAAUGAAGAAAUUAAAGGAGAGCUUAUAGAUUGCUUUCCCUCAUUGUGAAAUUGUAGUUAUUAGACUUCCUUAUUUUAUUUAUUUUAUUUCUUAUGAGAAUAAUAUUUCAUUCGUAUUUAAUAUGUGCAUGGUUCAAUGAUGUAUGUUUUUUCAGUUAAAUUUCUGGUUUAAAAAUCAUAACAAUUGGUGCAUGUUUUUCUUUGAUUUUUAAGUUUAAUUUGUUGAGUUUUUAUGAUGAAAUCGGUUUGGGUCAAGUUUAAUUUCGAAUUUAUUUUUUAAAAUUUAUAUCAUAAUUAAUAAAUUUAUUUUUAAAUUUUAAUGGUGAUCAAAUCGAAUUAUAUCAAAUUAAAUCCAAAAUUGUAGUAUUUGAGUUUAGGUAAGCUCAAUUUCUUUUUCAAAAUUUUCAUUUAUUUUGAGAAUGCUUAAAUUUUGUGCUUAAAAAAUAGAAAAAAGGGGGUAAGUUCAUCGGUUUAAUUUUGAAUUUUUAAAAUUUAAUUAAAUUUAUUUAUGAAAUUAAUUUAAUUUAAGUUUAAAAUGUAAUAGUCAAAUUUGAUGCAUAGUUAAAAUUAGAAUUAAAAAAAUUUAAUUGUAUUAUGAAUAUCUUAUUAAAUAGACGUCUAUCAAAAUUAAAAUAAAUUUUAAUAUACUUUAAAUUUUAAUAAUUUAUAAUUUAAGGAUUUCUAGUAGAAUUAACCCAGAUAAAUAAUUCAAGUUAAAAUAGUUAAUGGGUCGUACCUACCCAACAAAAAUGGUGUGCGAAUCUCCUAAUGUGGUGGAUGUCUUUUGGCCUCAUUUUCAGAGUACAAUAUGGCGAGGUGGCACGAACUGAUUGGCUCAAUUUGUACUCCAUUUUCUUAAAAUUCCUUUUUUAAUAAUAGUUUGACAAUUAAAUAUGUUAAAAACACUGAAAACGAGCAAGGUACGAGAAAGGACAUUUUGAUAGAAAAGAAUAAGACACGUGGAUACCAAUAAAAUAAAAGGAAAAACGACACUCAAGACUACUAAAUUAUUAGUAAGUUUACGUUAUAGUCACUUAAUUUUAAAAAGUUACAAAGUUGUUAUUAAACUAUUUAAAAUUUUUUAUUUAAGUCAUUAGGCUAUUAAAAUCAUUGUCAUAUGGUCUUCUCCAUUCAUAUUGCCUACACCAAUGAAAGCUCUCAUUCACCUUCUCUUCUGCAGUUCAAUAUUUUUCUUAUGAAAUUGUUUUGAACAUUGUGAAUUUGCGAACCAAAAUCCUAACAACUUUCUUCUUCAAUCUCCAAAACUUAUUGUCAGAUUGCCUCGGAUUUAAGGCAUGUUCUUCUACUUGUAGAUAGGUACUGAUCCACUGUACAGGUCUUUGAAUUAUUGUUUGGAGCUCGCUAGCCAAACUUUUAAGACAAAAAAAAGUUAAUACCCCAAUAGCUUAAAUAAAGACUUUUAAAUAAUUCAAAGACCGUUUUGUAGCUUUUUAAAGUUGAGUGACCAAAACAUAAACUUCUUAAUAGUUUAGUAAUAUUGUGUGUAGUUUACCCAAAAAAUGACUUUUCCUUUUGUACUUAAUAGUUUAGUCAAUUUUAUUAUAAUAUUAGUAUACUUAAUAUUUAUUUAAGCUCGAUUCAACGUGAAAUAUAAGCAUCAAAUUUUACUAAUUAACUCAAGUUUGUUUUAGGUUUGCUCAUAUUAUUUUUUAUUUAAUUUAAUAUUUUAAUAUCUUGUAUUAAAAUUUUAAAUAUGGAAAAUUAUGCAAAAAGUCUAAUAUUUAUAUUAUAGUGUUAUAUAUUAUAAACUUUAUUUUUAUGUGAUAUAUAUUAUAUAACACGUAAAAUUAAAUAAUAUAUAAUACAUUAUUAGACAACGAGACAGCUCAAGAUUGGGCCUUAAAUGUUGGAAUCCAAACUAAAUUCAUAUUUUAAAUGGAUUUAAUUUUUUUGUUUAAGUCCAUAUGUGGAGUCUAAUAUUUUUGUUUAAACCCUUUCAAAUUUCAAAUAAAAUUUUGAGAUUGAACGAAUAACUCGAUCCUCGAACAGGUCUGCUCUGGCACUUACCCACGUGGUGACAUCCCAUUCGAUAAAUAAGACUAAUUAUGGUAAUUUAUUUGGGAGGACGGUUAUAAUUUUAAAUAAUCUAAUUAAUAAAAAAAUAAAGUAUUUUGAAAAUAUUUUACCCCAAAGUUUUAAUUUUUUUUCAAAAUUUAUCUCUAACAACAUUAUAAAAAUAAAAUUUUGGUUAUCAGUGUUAAAAAAUUAUAAAAAUUAAAGGACAAAAUUAUGUAAAAUUAAAAAAACAGGGAUUAAAAUUUAAAUUUCAGCCUAAUAUGACCUACUUUUUAAAUAUGAUUUUAAAUAAUGUUAAACAAUGAUUAGCGAUUUCCCCAAACAGAAAAUAUAGGAGUAAGCAGACAAAUUAAAAGAAAUGGAAAAGCAAAAUAAACGUGGGAAUCUCUCUCUAUAUAUACAUAUAUACAGCUUAGAACACUGAAUUCCUCCUCCAUUAAUUCCUUUGAAAAUCUCUGGAAAACACUCAGAUUGUUCAAAAGAAAGAGUCAAUGAAAAUGGAAGAGUCGGCGGCGAUGAAAGAGAGCACCAGAGCCGCCAUUCGCGACGGAGACGAUGAUCAGAAAGCUUCGUUAGAAGCAAAGGAAAUGAGUGUCGUCGAUGAUAUGAUCAAUGGUGGAGAUUUAUCGUCGUCUUCAACGGAUAUUUUGGUGGAGCCAAUGGCAGGGAUAAACGGGUCGGGUCCACCGCCAUUUUUGACGAAAACGUUUGAGAUAGUUGAAGAUCCGGAAACCGACCCGAUUGUUUCGUGGAGUAUCCAUCGCAAUAGCUUCAUUGUUUGGGAUUCUCAUAAAUUCUCUGAAAAUCUCCUUCCCAAAUAUUUUAAGCACAAGAAUUUGUCAAGCUUUAUUCGCCAACUCAACACUUAUGUAAGUCAUUUUAAUUUAACCCAAUUUUUUCUCUAAAUUUUGCAGUGAUUUUUUUUAAAAAAAGAAUACAAAUUUCCGGGUUUUCUUCAGGGGUUUAAGAAGAUCGAUUCUGAUAGAUGGGAAUUUGCAAAUGAAGGGUUUCAAGGAGGAAAGAAGCAUUUGUUGAAGAAUAUUAAGAGGAAAAAUAGAUAUAAUUCAAGUAAUAUUAAUACUGAAUUGGAAGCUGAGAUUGGGAUUUUGAAGAAAAAUCAGAGUGAAUUGAAGAUGGAAAUUGUGAAAUUGAAGCAAAAAAAUGAUGAAUCUAAUGAUAAACUGGAAGCUGAGAUUGGGAUUUUGAAGAAAAAUCAAAGUGAAUUGAAGAUGGAAAUUGUGAAAUUGAAGCAAAAAAAUGAUGAAUCUAAUGAUAAACUGACUGUAUUCGACGAUAGGAUUCGAUUUGUUGAGCGUAGGCAGCAACAAAUGUUGAAUUUCUUAGUUAAAUUAGUGAAAUUCCCCAUUUUGUUUCAGCAAUUGAUGAAGAAGAAACAGGUGGAAAAGAAAGAGCUUGAUGAAGGGGAAUUUAGUAGGAAGAAAAGGAGAUUGCUUGAGACACAAGUCACUAAGAGUUUGCUUGAGCUUAUGGGAACUGAUCAAACGGUCACAAAGAGCUUGAAUGAGCCUAUGGAGACUGACCGGAGGGGCACCAAGAACUUGCCUGAGCCUAUAGGGACUGACCAGAGGGUCACCAAGAACUUGCCUGGGCCUAUGGGGAAUGACCAAAGUGUCACAAAGAGCUUGCCUGAGCCUAUGGGGACUGACCGAAGUGUAGCAAAGAGCUUGCCUGAGCCUAUAGGGACUGACCAGAGGGUCACCAAAGACUUGGCUGAGCCUACGGGGACUGACCAAUGUGUCCCAAAGACCUUGCCUAAGCCAAUGGAGACCAACCAACGUAUCACAAAGACCUUGCCUAAGCCUAUGGAGAUUGGCCAAAGUGUCAUCAACUCUAAAAACCAAGUUGAUCAAGUGCUGGAACCAAUGCAAUCUGAUCACUUCUCAAAGUUUUUGCUUGAUUGUAUGGAGAAAGACUAUUGGGUUUCCAUGGAAGAUCAAGAGAACAUCGAUGCACAAGAAAUGUCAUCUGUUUAUCAUGUUAUGGCUGAAAACCUACUAGGCGAAAGCUCAUGUGUUGAAAAUGCAACAAAUGAAGAGUUGUCGGUGAAGGAUUCCAAGGUUUAUCUUGAAUUGGAGGAUUUGAUCAACUGGAAACCCUCUAACUUGACUGGAUUUGUCAAUGAUCUGCUAGUGGAACAAACUGGUUGAUAAAACUAUAAAUCCGACACAGGUUUGAUCUAUUUCAUCCUCUAUGUACCAUCAUAUCUCAUAUCUAUAUCUGUAUCUGAAGUAAACAAGGAUAUCGGACAUGAUUUCUUAAUGUAGAUGCCAUUGGCUGUAGGAAGGUGACUGCAAGUGUAUCGAGGCUUGAAGCUGAUAGCAACAAAGGUUUAUAUAGCUCUCUAUAUUACUGCUUUCCUUCAGAUUGUGAAAACUUUAAAUCAUAUAUAACAGUAUAUAUAUACAACAAUGUCUAGUUCUUUUUAACAUAUAUAUACAUAUAUAUAGUUAUAUACCCUUUACCCUUUAUUUAUCAAAUUCUGCUACUUCACUUAAAAGGUUAAAAAUUGAAAUCAAUGGUGUUACAUAUUUUGAUGCUUGGCUUACUUGCAAUUCAAGGAACUUAUGGAUUUUGUAUCUCCCUCUUACUUGUUUAUGUGUUCUUUGUACUUCAGUUUUAUUCUUAUGAUUAAUUCGAUAGUUAGGGGCUUUCUCUUAUUUUAUUUUUUAUUAUCCAACCAUUUCCUUUUUUUUAAAAUGAAAAUAUUUGUUUCUUUCUUCUUUCUACUAACAUAAAAGAUGUCAAGAAUUUUCUGUUUCUAGAAAUUUGUAUAUUUUUCAGAAAAAAACAAGUCAUUUUUGUUUAUGCAAUUAUCCAAAAUUAAAACCCAUUGUUUAUUAAUAAAUAUAUUUUUAUUUAGAAUCAAUUAUAAAAUUAAUAUUUAAAUAUUAUUGUGAAUAAUAAUAUUCUCUUUACAAUUGUCCAACCUUUGUCCUACCCAAACUAUGGCUUGAUUCAUAAGCAAAUUUAAAUUAUACAUGCCCAGACUUCAACUUAACCCAAUCUGACAAGCCAUUUUCACUGUAAAUUAUAAAAUAUUAAAAAUAUUUUUGUAAAUCUAAAUAAUUUUUUUAAUACCAACCUGAGAUAAGAAAAUAGAAAAUAUAGAAAAAGAGAACAAAAAUACUGUUGGAGAAUAAAUACUAUUGACAACAUUUUAAGCCCAGCAAAAUUAUUUUUCUUUAUUUUCUGUCCAAGACCUACCAAGAUGGGCGGGCUGCUCGGCCCAUACCGAUAUAAACUAGAUCGAACCGCUAGGAAUUAUCAUAACUAAAUUCUACAAAUUUUCACUUUAUUUUUAACUUAUUUUCUUCUGCUAAUAAAGCCUCAGUUGAUAAAUAAAACUAAUACCAAAACCAAAAUACACAAUUCAAGAUUUGACUUUUAUAAAUUACUAGUACCUUAGGGAAGAAAAUUACUAGCGUGAUACAAACUAUAAAAGGAUUGUAUUAGGCUUUUCUGGUUUUUUAAGUGUUUAGCCACUACUACCAUUAGCUGUAGCAGUGAGCUUUACCUUUAGGCCCGGUCACAACUAUGGAUUUUGAUGAAGAUGAAGAGGAGAUGGCUGACCUGUCAAACUGCUCUUUAUCUUCAUGGAAUGCCUUGCUUAGUACGUCUUGGAGUUCCACGUAUCUCUGCCUUUUAACCAUCCGUUCCUGCGCCGUAUCGCUCCCUCCGCAUGCUAGCUGCGAUAGGUCGUCCGCGUCCAUGAUCUUGUUCAACACUUCAGAGCAACGAGGAAAAAAUCGUUUCCCGAGUUCGACUGCCGGAGAUAAAACAGAAAAAGAGGGUUAGCUUCGAUAUAUUAAUGCAAAUGAUAUUUACGCGCGACAUAUAAUCAGACAUAAAUAUAAAAAUACAAUCUUCCAUGACAAAACAUAUAAAAAGUAGAGCAGCAAUACUCAGCUAUUUAUACAUCCAUUUAUAUCAUCUCUAGAUAGAAGCCUGGAUUUUAUUUUACCUCCUGUACUUAGAAAAUAAACAAAUAAAAAUAGAUUUUUAAAUAUUAAUACUUGUGUCUACUCCAAAUCCAUUAUAAAUAAUAAUUAAAAUAUUUAAAUCUAAAUAUUAUCUAUCCAAAUUCAAAUUUCACGAUCCCAACCAUCUAUUAUGAUCCUAGUGACAUUUAAGAGGGCAGCAUGAAAUGUUGGUGAAAAAGCAGUACCUGUUCUGGAAAGUGCUUUGAGUCUAUUUAAAUGCUCCUCUUGAAUCCUGAAAGGUGCCUCAUUCAAGGCCACUGUUGUUUGAGCACCAUUUAAUUUAUUGGAAUUGAUGGUAGCAAAUGUGAACUCCGAUGUUCCAUCCACUUGAGCUAUAUCCAUCACAACUUUAGCUUCCAUUGGGAAUAAAAGUUUCGCCAGCCCAACUGCAAAAGUUACACAAAUAAUAACACAACCUAGUAAGCUAUGUUCUUUGGAUUGUUCAUUUUUUCAAAAACAUUCGUGUCCGACAUCCGUAUUUAACAUAUGCAAGACAUGGGUAUAUAUCAGACUACAUGGAAAAUGAAUAGUUGGAGCAAAAAAUUUACCUCUAUUUUCGAGAUACAAUAACUUCAUCCGAAGAUCAUCACCAGCCAUGGCAAGAGACAAAGAAGCUUCACCAUGCAACGGAUCUCUUCUUUCAGCUUGCUCUAGUAUCUCUAUACACAACCUGUCCUUCGGCGAAGCCUUACCUUCCUCGGUCGAUUUAUAGUAAUCGGCAGCCCGGGUGAGCCGCUUCGAUAUUUGAAGAGCUUUUCUACCAUCAAUAGUGAGAUCGGAUGGUCGUGCACCUUUCGUUAAAAGAGAAACUAUAAUCUUAGGCUCUUUCCUCAUCGCGGCAACGUGCAACACUGUGUACCCUCUCGAGUUCCUAUGGUUAACAUCCGCGAGUCCAAGGUCAAGCAACUCAGUCGUGGUCUUUGCGUCGCAGUAUGCCACAGCGUAGUGAAGCGCAUACGCUUCGUCUAAAUUCGUAUGACCCUCUUUCAGUAGCAUUCGAACUAACUCGACGUCAUCCGAUUCCAGCGCCCGAUGAAUCCGCCGCACGUGUUUAUCGGGAAAACCUACGUUCUCAGGCUUGUCUAAACUGAGUUCCAGACGGGAAUCAAUGAUUUGUUUCACAAUGGGUUGAGGCAAGGCUUUGUCGAGUGUUACAAUAUCAACAUCGGAUUUCACAACGAUUUCUACACACUUUGCCACCAAUUUUUCACAAACAUUGCCGCACAUAUUUGCAAUGUAAAGAACCACCAAGAUACCAUCUACGGCGACCCUGUCGAUGAUGUCCAGUAGAUGUCUCUGUAAAUUUAAAAACAGAACAUAAAUUCUGAAAACUUAAAAUACUCUGUUCUGUUUUUCUAAUUGCUUUUUUGAUUCCUCAUCAAAUCACAAAAAAGGAAGAAAGGACUAAAUUAUACUACCAUUAGUUCACACACUUAUCUCUGAAUUCCUAUAUUUUUUUAGUAUUCAUAUUUAGCAAUCAUAAUCCAAGUAACGUAGCUUAAAUCAUAAAAUUUUGUUAUUAAGGGACUCUGAUUUUUUAGUUAUUCAAAUAUGUUACUAAAACUCAAUAGUAAAUAUUAAAUAUGAAUAUGUGUUGGAGUAUAUUCAAAUUUAAUUUUUUUUUCUAUUCACAGAAAUGCCUAUGAAUGCUCAAUUUUCUAAUAUUUUUUAUAUCUGAAAAUCAACAAAACUUGCUAAUGUUUAACAGUGAUUAGUUAUAAGAACGAUUAUCUAAUUUCUCCGAAAUUGGAAAUUCAUACAAUAAAUAAUCAAUAUUAAGAUUCAAGGGCGAAAAAAGAAGCUAAAAUCAGUUGAAAUUUACUGACCUGAUAAAGAGCAAUUAAUUCAGGGACCUGAAAAACGAACGCUGCAUAUAGAACUUCAGCAAUGAAAUCAACGGCCGGUCUACAUCCAACGUGCGAACAACCAUCGUCUACGCAAAGGCAAACGCCUUUAGGCAACGAUUUAACUUUUCCGGUAUACAAGUAAGCCAGAACGGCAACAAGCGAAUCAUAGCCGAUCUCAUAGUCUCUAGCCAACUCUUUGAGCUCAAACUUAGCUCCACUAUCUUUCAGCCCGGAGAACACGGUCUUAAACACCGAACUCCUUGCCGACAAAAUGCACCGGUGAACGGCCACCUCCCGGCCGGAAGAUAGCGCGAUUUUUGCGUCGGAGUAAAAGUAAUCGGAAUCCGUCGAUUCGUAAAGGGACUCGAGGUUCUUGGAGAGGAGUUGAAGAGCGGCGACGUCCGGAGUGUUCAACGGUUCCGAUGAAACAAGUGUUUCGGAGGUUGUUGUCGCAGCGGCGGCGACGAUACAGCACGUGGUGCUGUUGUUGUUACUGAUUUCGUUCGAAUCCGAAAAUCCAUUUCUAUGAUCCAUAGAAAAACAAAAAAGAAACUAUUUGAAACUCAAAGCUACUUGUUUAGGUACCUGAAGAAGAAAGCAACGAUUCUCCAUGGAAAUACUGAGAGGAAAUAAAAAGUCAAAGGAGAGAGAUAAAAGAAGAAGAGUUUAGCCAUUGAUGAGCUAGCAUCAGCUAGUAACAUGGCGUGACGAAGAACUUAAAAAUUAAAAAUUAAUAAAAAUAAAAAUAAAAAUUGUUAGAUACUCUUUUAUUGAAUCUAGGGUAACUUCUCCUAUUAGUCCCUGUAAUUUUAAAAGUUAUCGAUUUAAUCCCUGUACUUUAAUUUGAACAUUUUUAGUCCCUUUUCUUUUUAAAUUUCAAAAUUUCAGUCAUAAUCAUUGUUAAACUGAUUAAGUUCUAUUAUUUCUAAAAUCUAAUUCGUCAACCACAUUAUCAUAUUUGUAAUGACAUAUCAACUAGUAAUUGCAUUUAAAAUGGAUCUAAUUGCUAUUGAUGGGGUCAAGAUUAAAUUGAAAAUUUGAAAAAAGUAUAGGGAAUAAAAUUAAAAAAUUUGAAACGUAUGGGGACUAAUUGUGAUCAAAUUGAAGUACAAAGACUGGCUGCUUUCAAAAAGUAUAGUGACUAAUAGAAGAAUUUAACCUUGGAUGUAUUAUAAUAUUUUCCAUUUUUUUCAUGUUUUAAGAUUGCUCUUUAUUUUAAUAUAGAUUCAUGUGUUUUUCCCCGGCUUUUCAUCCGUACAUUAGGACCACCUGUUUUGCCUUUUUUCUCCGGUUACCUUUAUGAAUCUGGGAUUUGACGGCCCUGAUUUAGUUUUAGAUUCAAAGUGAGAUAAUCAAUCAAGACCAGAAGGAAAAUUAAAUGUUAAAAUAUGACCAAGUCCCUGCACUUUUUGUGAAUUCAGAAUUUAGUCCUUUUACUUUCAUUUCUAGGAAUUUGAUCCUUUAACUUUUCUAGUUUCAAAAUAUAAGUCCAAUUGUUAGUACCGUUAAAAUUUUUAUAUUAAAAUUACGGGUGUGAUAUUUUGAAAUAAUAUGCAUUAGGUUCAAAAUUUACUCAAUCAAGUAUUAUAUUAUUCAAAUUCAACUUACUUUAUAGCUCAAGCUCAGUUUAAUAAUUACUGAGUCGAGUUUAAACUUUUUUUUUAAAUUACAAAUUACGUGUACAAUUAUUCAAAUAUUCAUUUACCAAUAUAGAUAAACAAUUUUACCCUUGUAUUAAGAGUCAAAUUAUAUUUUGCCUCCUCUACUCAAAACAUGGGUAAAUUAGUCAUUAUACGUUAGAUCAAAAAGUAAACUGUCCUUUUUUUAAAAAAUUUUAUCAAUUUCUACUAUUAAAAAUUGGCGUAGUUGAUAGAAUAACUUGACAAUUACGAGUUGUAUGCCAUGUGUACCUCAUUUUGAUGUAUAUGGACCAAUUUUUAACAGUAUAAAAAGAUAGGACAUUUAACAGAAUAAUCAGUCUGCUCUUUGAUUUAACAUAUAGAAACUAAUUUGCCCAUUUUUUUAAUAAAGUGAGCAAAAUGCAAUCCAACUCUUAAUACAAGAGCUUCUAUACUUUUACCACUAAUAUCAUUUUCAAGGAUAGGGCGGCUAAAGUGCGGCAAAAGUGCAAGGCUGAAAGCUUAACGUCAGUAACGGCAGUUAUCAAAGUUCCGUCAUUGUUUCUUUCUAAUUCUGGAUUUCAACACUAUUUUAUAAAAAUUAAUCCAUUUGUUUUAAUUUGUAAUAAUUUAAUCCUCGUAGGUCACAAAAAGCUAAUAGAUUAGUCUAAUUAUAAGUAAACACGAAAAUUUUACUUGCUUAUAUCUGUUAACUUGUUGAAGCAUAUAAAUUGUGUAACACCCCUUACCCGUAUUCUGAGCCUAGAAUAGGGUACGAGACAUUACCGAACUUAAUAUGAUCAAUUAUGUAAAAAUCAGCCAUAAAACUUCUUCUAAAUUAAAAACUUUCAUACAUAUGUUUAACGUCCCUUAUAUGGGUCUACGGGGCCUAAAACAUACAUUCAGGGUGGUUCGGGACCAAACCGUAAACAUAUGAAACUUUUGCAACACUUAGAAAAUUUUCACACUUUGAAGAGUCACACGCUCGUGUUUUCAACCCAUGUAACUCUCUGUUUAUAACUUCAUCACCCUUGUCAGUCGUAUACCUCAUAUAAAUAACAAGAAACGUGUAUGGGCUCAAUUCUCAUUAAAUUUCUCAUAUAUAUACACAAUUUCACGUUAUGUAAUCAUACAACAUAUAUCAGCUAUAUCUCUGUAAUCUAAAUAUAUUUUCAUAACAACUUAUCUUGAUUUCAUACUAUUUCAUAUUUAAGCUUAAAUAACCAAAGUAUUUGAAAUAUCAUCUUUAUGCAAAUAGUACACAUGAGGUAUAUAAUUCCAUAAUUAUGAAUAAACACAUUUAUCAAACAUUUUCCAUAUUCAUAUAUCAAUGUCUCAUGUCUCCAUAUAUCAAUAACCGUCAUUUUCAUGAAUUUCGAAUUCAAUUUCAUAAUUAUUUUCCUCGUGUUCAAUUUAUUCCAUGUCGGAACUUUAUUCAUUAAAACAUUUGAAUUAUCAAUACAUAUGGACAUUACAUUCAAUAUGAACAAUUAUAUAAUCACAAAAGAAUUCAUUUAUCAACCAAGUUCUAUACUCAUAUCUUAUCAACUCGUACUUUCUUGUAUCACAUAAUUCCAUGUAACACUUACCAAACUUUGUCAAAUUAGUGAACGUCUUACGGAAUUGAGUACUUCGUUUUCUCGAUGCCAUAGUUCAACUAUGGUCUUACACAUCUUCACAUAAUGAUGCCAUAGCCCAGCUAUGGUCUUACACAUAUUCAUAUAUCGAUGCCAUAGCCCAGCUAUGGUCUUACACGUAAUCACAUAUCACAUAUCGAUGCUAUAGCCCAGCUAUGGUUUUACACGAAUCACAUAUCUCACUGAUGUCAUAUCCCAAAUAUGGUCUUAUACAGUAGCAUAUAUCACACCGAUGCCAUAUCCUAGAUAUGGUCUUAUACAUAAAUCACUUGUCACUUGUUGUAACACCCCCACGCCCGAAACCGUUACCGGAGUCAAGCUUGAGGUGUUACUAAACUUAUUUUACCUUUUAAACAACUCUAAACCACUUAUUUUAAUUUUCGGAAUAAAUUGUUUUUCUGCGUCAUGGUUGCUUAAAAAUUCAUUUCUCGAGUUUCAAAACUCAAAAUUAAGAUCUGUAAAUUUUUCUUGAAACUAGACUCAUAUAUCUAUCUACUAAUUUUUUUCUAGAAUUUUUGACUUGUCCAAUUAGUACAGUUUAUUAGUUAAAGUUUCCCCUAUUUCAAAACUCGACUGCACUGACCUCUUCUUACUCCGAAGCAUGCUUCUUCCUGUAAAAAAUUCAUAUGACUAAGCCGUUUGUUUCUAUUAAAACUAGACUCAACAAGGAUUCUAACCAUAUAAAGUACACCUUCUAAUUAGUUUUUUACAAUUUAUGGUGAAUUUCAAAAGUUGAAAUAGGGGAUCCAGAAAUUGCUCUGACCCUGUUUUACUAAAACUCAAAUAUCUCAUAAAAUAUAAUACCUUUACCUGUUUUGCUUAUUCCAUAAGAAAAUAGACAUAAUAAGAUUUAAUUUCAUAUAUUAUUCAUCUUCAAACUAUGUUUCUACAAUUUUUAGUGAUUUUUCAAAGUUAUGUCAUUUCUAUUACUUGAAUCUGUUUUUAGGUUACUUUCACAUUUUUCAUAAUUUUCAUGUGAUAAUCACCAUUCAAUCAUACAUAUUAAUAAACAUGUAUAUCAUCGGCCAUUUUAUUAGCUAAUCACUAGCAAGUAUUUACACAUCAUUCAUUGUUCAUAUUAUACCAAAAGUAGCUAAGUUUCUAUACAUGCCAUACCCAAAACAAAACGUCUAAUUAUACCGAGUUAUUUCUUUGAUAGUGUGAUCGGCCUCCGACGUUUCCUUCGAUCCCCGAGUGGCUAGAUAAGUACUAUAAGAAGAAGAAAAUAAAGAGAUUAAGCACUAGGCUUAGUAAGCUUACAAGUAAAUAAAUCACAACAUUCAACAUAAUGGAUAAUUAUGCAUAAUAUCAUCUAACAUCAUAAAUUUCUUUACUUCUCAAUUUCUAUCUUAUUCUUUAUUCCCUUACCUUCUUUCUUACCUAACCUUUCCUUUUUCUUAAAUAUAAUCUACUUUUCCUUUUCUGUUAAUUCACUGUAAUUUAACUCGUACCCUGACCCGUUGAACCACUCGGAAUACUAAAGAUACUAGGGUCGUUCCUGUCUUUCAAUAUCCUGCCAAUACCAUGUCUUUGACAUGGACUUACAUGAAUUAUUCCUGUCUCCAAUGCCAUAUAUAAUAUGGACUUACAUGGCUCAAUCCUGUCUCCAAAGCCAUAUUUCUAAUAUGGACUUACAUGGCUCAUUUCUGUUCUAUCCUGUCAACCCUAAUAUCCUAACAUUCCUAGGGUUCAACCGGGGCUUUCUAACACUUUUCCUCUGUCACUUCACCUUAAAUUCGACUUUAAAUAUUUUCAUAACAUUAAUAUAUAAAUGCUGGAAAUUGAAAAUAAUAAUGUAAAAUAAAAGAAUAUUGCAUUUAUUUACUGUUACUUACCUUGAUACAAAAUGUGACUAAACUUUACAAUUUAGUCCUUUACUUUUUCUUUUCCCUGAUCUACUCCCGAAUUUCAUUCUUCUUGAUCUAUAAUAGAAAAUUUAACUUAUUUAAUAUUCACAUUUAUUAAAACAGUCCGUGACCCAAACUUUGGAAAAUUAUAUUUUUACCCCUAAACUUUCACAUAUUUUUAUACCUUGGAUUUGUGGUUUCACAACCACUGUUCCGUUUAGGCCCUAUUUUGGGAUGUUACAUUUCUCCCCCCCUUUAGGGAUUUUCGUCCCGAAAAUCUUACCUGUGAAGAGAUUUCGGUACUGUUUUCGCAUAGCCUCUUCGGGUUCCCAUGUAGCCUCAUCUACCUGUGUCUAUUCCAUAGUACUUUCACAAGUGCAAUACUUUUGUUCGUUAAUUGCUUUACCUCUCGAACUAGAAUCUUUACCAGUUCUUCACUGUAAGUCAUGUCUGGCUGAAUCUCAACCUCUGUCUGAGAAAUCACAUGUGACGGAUCUAAACGAUAACGACGUAGCAUAGACACAUGAAAUACAUUAUGAAUCUUCUCUAACUCAAUCGGCAAAGCUAACCGAUAUGCUAAUGGUCCGACUCUCUCAAUUACUUCAAACGGUCCAAUAAAACGUGGACUUAGUUUGCCUUUCUUACCAAAUCUGAGAACUUUCUUCCACGGGGAUACUUUCAAAAAAACUUUGUCACCAACUUGAUACUCAAUAUCUUUUCUCUUUAUGUAACAGCCUAAUUUUCAAUGGUAUUGGGAAUAGAGAUUUGAGAUCACCAAAUCCGACGGGUGAGUUAAAAAUUUAAUAAAUUAAUACCUAUGAGUCAAAUGCGAAUAUAAAAGCAUUUUUGAAUUAGUGAAUUUGGUGAUUUAAAAGAAUUAAUUAGGUAAAUUGGGUCGAGAAUGAGUUAUCGAGACCUCGACUUCAUAAAUCGAGCCAUAAAUGUUUUCAGAAAUAUUUAUGGAGUGUUGGUGAGGUAGUAUUAAAAUUUAGUCAGAAAAUUUUGACGUUUGGGUGGUUAAUUAAAUAAAAAGGACUAAAUUGAAAAGGGUGUAAAAGUUGCUAGAAGGAUUAAAUAGUUCAAUUGUCAAAUGAGGAAGGACCUAAAGUGAAAAUAGUCCUAAAGGAGAUAUUUUGGGCGGCAAUAGCUGAGAAAAAUCAGGAAAUGGAUGAAAUAAGGGCAAAAUUGGAAAUUGCCAAAAUUGGCUAAAUAAAAAUGGGACUAAAUUGGAAUAUCUAGAACUCUCUUCAUUUCUCUUCAUAUUCAUCAGCUGAAAAACAGCCAUGGAGGAGGGUUCAAGCUGGUUUUCAUACUCUAGCUUCAUGUAAGUUUAAUUCUUGCUUUCUCCUUGAAAUUUUUAUGUUUUUGUGACUUUUACAACUAGGUCCACUUGUUGAAUUCAUUAGUUUUUGAUUCUAUGAAAGAAAUUGAAAGUUGCUAUAAAUAUGUGCUGGAAGUAUAUGAUGAUUUGGCAUGGAAUUAGAGUUUUAAAUUAUUUAUAUGCUGCUUUUAUUGAAAGAAUUGAAUAGAAAGUGAAUGUUUGGGACCUAAUUGUAAAAGAGUUUGAAGUUAGAGUUUCAUAUGGAAAUUCUGAAUUUCAAUAGUUAUGAAAUAACUUAUAAUAUCUAGAAAAAGUGUUAAUUGAGAAAAUUAUCUUAAUUGAGGGGUUAAUUGAGCAAGGACUGAAUUGUAUGAAUUGUGAAAUUUGGGGCAAAAUGGAAAUCAACAUUUUGCACUAAAACUGUUUUAGACAGCAGCAGUAGUCUAACUUUGAAAAAUCACUAAAAAUUAUAGAAAUCGAAUUAGAGGAUGAAUAAAAUAUGAAAUUAAAUCUUAUUGAGUCUAGUUUCUUAUAAAAGAAAUUAUGUAAGCAAUGGAAUUGUAAAUCAUGAGAUACAAUAACUUUUGUGAGACAAGGUCAGAAUGAUUUCGAGUUCCCCUGUUCUGACUUUGGAAAAACAUAAAAAAUUGGAUAAAAAUAAUUAGGGGCUUAAAUUUAUAUGUUUAGAAUCCUGAAUGAGUCUAUUUUCAAGAUAAACAAACAAGGACAUCAUUCGAAUUCUUUACAAGAAGAUAAUUAAUUUUUAGUGAAGAAGGGUCGGAACUGUCAGACAGCAGAACAGGGGAGACUUUAAUGAAUAAACUGUAUUAAUUGGCCCAACCAAAAAUUAUGAAAUUUUUAUGGUAAUAAGGUAUAUGAGUCUAGUUUCAGGGAAAAUUAGAAGAUAUUAAUUUGGAGUUCUGUAGCUCAAGAUAAAAAUAAUUUAGUGACUAUGACACAGAUGGAUAGCUUGAAUAUUCACAUAAGUAGAUAGUGAAAAUUAUGGAUAAUGUUACUUACAAGUGUGUUGUUUAUACUAAGGAUGUAGAAUGGAGAGGAGGAGGAGGAGGAGGAAAAAUAUGUAUGAAUAUUCAGCUAGCAUGGCUAAUUUGUAUGUUUUUGGCUCAAGGACUAAAUUGAAUAAAAGUAAAACUUUAUGGGUAAUUUUGUAAAAAUGUCGAAAAUGACUAAAUUGAAGGGAAUGAAUUGUUUUAUUAUCUAAAUUAAUAAAUUGAAUGAAAUUAUCAAUUUAAGAUUGGGUGAAAUUUGGGAAUAUGGUAAAUUACCAAUAUGCCCCUAAAUCUUGGUAUUUUUGUAAUUUAGUCAGGUAGGUUCGUAUAUCCUGCAUGAGCAUGUAAAUAUGAAAAUUUAAGUAUUGUAUCGUAUUUUAUAUGAUAUUUUGAAUUGAAUAUAUGAAAAGAAUGUUACAUGAAACAUGAAAAUUAAUACUAAAUAAUAUAAAUUAAUUGAAAUUAUUCUGAAAAUUUCGGUAAUGCCUCGUAUCCUAUCCCGGUCUCAGGUACGGGUAUGGGGUAUUACACUUUAAAUCUGCAUACGACUUUUUUUGUCUGAAGUUGCUUUCAAGCAAUCUCUGAUGAUUUUUACUUUCUCUUCUAUUUCCUUAACUAGAUCAACCCUGUAAAUCUGAUUUUCCUUAAGCUCUGUCCAAUACAAAGGUGUGCGACAUUUACGUCCAUACAAAGUUUCAUAAGGUGCCAUCUUCAAACUUGACUGAUAACUAUUAUUGUAAGCAAACUCUACUAAUGGCAAAUAUUUUUCCCAACUGCCUUGAAUACCUGAAUAACUCUCUCUGACUGACCGUCGGUUUGAGGAUGAAAAGCCGUACUAAAACUCAACUUCGUACCUAAAGCCUCUUGUAACUUCUUCCAGAACCGUGAAGUAAAUCUUGGAUCUCUGUCUGAAAUGAUCGAUAAUGGUACCCCGUGUAGUCUGACUAUCUCUGAAAUAUAUAACUCGGCCAACUUGUCAAGUGAAUAAUCCAUACGAACUGGGAUAAAAUGAGCCGACUUCGUUAACUUAUCAAUCACAACCCAUACUGCAUCUUUCUUUCUCAGUGUAAACGGCAAUCCUGCCACAAAAUCCAUAGUAACUUGAUCUCAUUUCCACUCAGGGACUAGCACAGGCUGCAAUAAACCUGAAGGUACCUAAUGUUCGGCCUUUACCUGCUGACAGAUCAAGCAUCUAGAAACAAACUCUGAAAUGUUCCUUUUCAUUCCUACCCACCAGUACAUUUUCUUCAAAUCAUUAUACAUAUUUGUACUACCUGGGUGAAUAGACAAAGAACUACUAUGUGCUUCCUGUAAGAUCUUUCGAAUAAGCUCAUCAUUCUUCGGUAUGCAUACCCUGUCUCUGAACAUCAAACAACCGUCAAAACUGAUCUGAAAAUCUGACUCUAUGCCUGACUCACAUUGAACUCUUUUAGCUUGUAACUCAUUAUCAUCUUUCUAAGCUUCACAAAUCUCUUCAAAAAAUACCGGUUUAGUUCUCAAUUCUGCUAAAAUAGAACCAUCAUCUGACAUGGCUAAAUUGGUAUUCAAAGCUCGCAAUGUAAAUAAAAGUUUCCUACUUAAAGCGUCAGCAACUACAUUUGCCUUACCUGGGUGAUAAUCAAUCACUAACUCAUAAUCUUUAAGCAAUUCCAAUCAUCUUCUUUGCCUUAAAUUCAAAUCUUUUUGAGUCAUCAAGUAUUUCAAGCUUUUAUGAUCGGUAAAUAUCCGGUACCUUUCACCAUACAAAUAAUGUCUCCAAAUCUUCAAUGCAAAUACAAUAGCAGCUAGCUCUAAAUCAUGUGUCAGAUAAUUUUUCUCAUGUGGCUUCAAUUGUCUAGAGGCAUAAGCAAUUACCUUUUCUUCCUGCAUGAGUACACAACCGAGCCUAUUCAAGGAUGCAUCAUUGUAAAUCACAAAUUCUUUACCCGGUUCCGGCUGUACUAAGAUAGGAGCUUCCGUCAACAAUGCCUUUAACUUGUCAAAACUUUGUUGGCACUUCUCAGUCCAUUCAAACUUAACAUCCUUCCGUAGCAGUCUCGUCAACGGGGUAGCUAUCAUGGAAAAUCCCUUCACAAAUCGUCUAUAAUAUCCGGUAAGACCAAGAAAACUUCUAAAUUCUGAUACAUUUCUAGGAGGCUUCCAAUCAACAAUGGCUGAAAUCUUGCUCGUAUCAACCUUAAUACCUUCACCCGAGACAAUAUGUCCAAGAAAACCAACUUCUUGUAACCAGGACUCACUUUUGCUAAACUUGGCAUACAACUAAUUAUCUCUCAGAAUUUGUAAAACUGUUCUUAAAUGCUCUGCAUGCUCAGUCUCAUCAUGAGAAUAAAUCAAAAUAUCAUCAAUGAACACAACUACAAACUUAUCUAAGUACGAUCUGAAAAUUCAGUUCAUUAAGUCCAUGAAAAUGGCAGGAGCAUUAGUCAAGCCAAAUGGCAUCACAAGGAACUCAUAAUGACCAUACCUAGUCCGGAAAGCAGUCUUCAAGACAUCUGACUCUUUAACUCGCAACUGAUAGUAUCCGGAUCUCAAAUCUAUCUUGGAAAACACAGUAGCUCCCUUCAAUUGAUCAAACAGAUCAUCAAUUCUAGGCAAUGGAUAUUUGUUCUUUACUGUUACCUUGUUAAGUUACCGAUAAUCUAUGUACAAUCUCAUCGAUCCGUCUUUCUUUUUCACAAAUAGCACUGGUGCACCCCAUGGUGAACUACUAGGUCUUACAAAGCCUUUAUCUGUUAAUUCUUGCAACUGAGCUUUCAAUUCUUUCAAUUCCAACGGAGCCAUUCUAUAAGGAGCAAUAGAAAUGGGCGUGGUACCUGGAAUCAACUCAAUACCAAACUCAACUUCUCUAACAGGAGGCAAACUUGGUAGUUCUUCCGGAAACACAUCGGGAAACUCACAUACCACAGGUACUGAUUCAAUUUUCAAUUCUGGAUCUUUAGUGUUCAACACAAAAGCAAGAUAAGCUUCAUACCCUUUUCUCAAACAUUUCUGAGCAAACAUAACAGAGAUUAUGGGAAAUAAACUAUCUGACUCUUCUGAAUUAACCCGAAGAAUUUCACCAUUUUCACACUUCAACUCAAUUAAUUUCUUUCCACAAUUCACUAUAACAUCAUGUGUAGUCAACCAAUCCAUACCAAGAAUCACAUCAAACUCAUCAAAUGACAAUAGCAUGAGAUCGGCCGGAAAACAGUAGCCUCUAAUCAUUAAAGGACAAUUUCUACAUACUUUAUCUGUAACAUCCCAAAAUAGGGCCUAAACGGAACAGUGGUUGCGAAACCAUAAAUCUGAGGUAGAAAAUUUUAUUUUAUUAUUAUUUUGAGGUUUAUGGUAUGAUUGCAUGAUUGUGUGAAAAUUUCGUGAUGAAAUUCUAUGCAUAAAGUGCUUAAGUUAAGGUUAGGGACUAAAUCGAAUAAUUUGCAAAAUUUGUAUUCUAAAAGUUUUUAGUAUGAAAUUAUUUUGGAAUAUUAAUUAGGAGGGUUUAAAUAAAAAUUUGACCAAUUUUAAGUUCAUGGACAAAAAUUAGGACAUGGAAAGAAUUUUUGAAAGUUUAGUAAGGAGGGGCAAUUUGGUCAUUUGGAUAUUAAAUGAAUUAAAAAGGGAAAAAUAACACAAAAAUGGUCAUCUUCUCAAUUAGUUUCUGCCGAUUUUUGCUCUCCUCCAUAGCUGGGGUUUCUUCAACUUUCAAGCUUCAUAGUAAGUGAUUCUAAGCCCCGUUUUUAAUGAUCUUUACGUUUUUGGAGUCCCGGUAACUUGAUUAAGCUUAUUCUAGCAAUAAUUCAACCUAAGGUUCAUAUUUUGAAAAAUACCAAUAGCUUAAAUUUGUGUAUUUUGGUGUUUUAUGAUAGAAUAUGAGGUUUUAAAUUAUGUUAAACAACUUAUGCUACUCGGUUUUAAGUGAAAACGAGUAAAAGGGCUUAAAUCGGAAAAAAAUACCAAUAGUCAUAAGUAUAUGUUAGAGUGUGAUUUUGAUAUUGCCAUAGAAGGGGAAAAUGAUCAGCAUUUCAUAAAACAUAAGAAAAUAGGAUGAAGUUUAAUUUACGAGCCUUAGGGCAAAAGUGCAAAUAUGUGAAAGUUUAGGGGUAAAAAUAUAAUUUUACCAAAGUUUGGGUCACGGAUUGUUUUAAUAAAUGUGAAUAUUAAAUAAGUUAAAUUUGUUAUUAUAGAUCAAGAAGAACGAAAUUCGGGAGUAGAUCGGGGAAAAGAAAAAGUAAAUGACUAAAUUGUAAAGUUUAGUCACAUUUUGUAUCAAGGUAAGUUACAGUAAAUAAAUGCAAUAUUCUUUUAUUUUACAUUAUUAUUGUCAAUUUCCAGCAUUUAUAUAUUUAUGUUAUGAAAAUAUUUAAAGUCGAAUUUAAGGUGAAGUGACAGAAGAAAAGUGUUAGAAAGCCCCGGUUGAACCCUAGGAAUGUUAGGAUCUUAGGGUUGACAGGAUAGAACAAAAAUGAGCCAUGUAAGUCCAGAUUAGAAAUAUGGCUUUGAAGACAGGAUUGAGCCAUGUAAGUCCAUGUUAUAUAUGGCAUUGGAGACAGGAAUAAUUCAUGUAAGUCCAUGUCAAAGACAUGGCAUUGGCAGGAUAUUGAAAGACAGGAACGACCCUAGUAUCCUUAGUAUUCCGAGUGGUUCAACGGGUCAGGGUACGAGUUAAAUUACAGUGAAUUAACAGCAAAGGAAAAGUAGAUUAUAUUUAUAAAAAAGGAAAGGUCAGGUAAGAAAAAAGGUAAGGGAAUAAAGAAGAAGAUAGAAAUUGAGAAGUAAAGAAAUUUAUGAUGUUAGAUGAUAUUAUGCAUAAUUAUCCAUUAUGUUGAAUGUUGUGAUUUAUUUGCUUGUAAGCUUACUAAGCCUAGUGCUUAAUCUCUUUAUUUUCUUCUUCUUAUAGUACUUAUCUAGCCAUUCGGGGAUCGAAGGAAACGUCGGAGGCCAAUCACACUAUCAAAGAAAUAACUCGGUAUAAUUAGACGUUUUGUUUUGGGUAUGGCAUGUAUAGAAACUUAGCUACUUUUGGUAUAAUAUGAACAAUGAAUGAUGUGUAAAUACUUGCUAGUGAUUAGCUAAUAAAAUGGCCGAUGAUAUACAUGUUUAUUAAUAUGUAUGAUUGAAUGGUGAUUAUCACAUGAAAAUUAUGAAAAAUGUGAAAGUAACCUAAAAACAGAUUCAAGUAACAGAAAUGAUGUAACUUUGAAAAAUCACUAAAAAUUUUAGAAACAUAGUUUGAAGAUGAAUAAUAUAUGAAAUUAAAUCUCAUUAUGUCUAUUUUCUUAUGAGAUAACCAAAACAGAUAAAGGUAUUAUAUUUUACGAGAUAUCUGAGUUUUAGUGAAACAGGGUUAGAGCGAUUUUUGGAUCCCAUAUUUCAAAUUUGGAAAUUCACCAUAAAUUGUAAAAAUCUAAUUAGAAGGUGUACUUUAUAUGGUUAGAAUCCUUGUUGAGUCUAGUUUUAAGAGAAGCAAACAUCUUAGUCAUAUGAAUUUUGUAUAAGAAGAAACAUGGUUUGUAGUAAGAAGAGGUCAGUGCAGUCGAGUUUUGAAACAGGGAAAACUUUAACUAAUAAACUGUACUAAUUUUCCAAGUUAAAAAUUCUAUAAAAAUAAUUAGUAGAUAGAUAUAUGAGUCUAGUUUCAGGAAAAAUUUACGUAUCUUAAUUUUGAGUUUUGAAACUCGAGAAAUGAAUUUUUAAGCAACCAUGACGCAGAAAAAUAGUUUAUUCCGAAAAUUAAAAUAAGUGGUUUAGAGUUGUUUAAAAGGUAAGAUAAGUUUAGUAACACCUCAAGCUUGACUCCGGUGACGGUUUCGGGCGUGGGAGUGUUACAUUUAUUGGUAUCAGAGCAGGUUUAGUCGGUUCUCGAAACAGUUAGUGUGAGAAAAAGUCUAGCUAUACAUGCCAUACUUGUAUUUUGAUAGUGUGACGACUCCUGACGAUUUUUAAAUAUUUUGUUUUAUAGUAAUGGAUCCCGGGCGAGCUGGUGAUGAUGAUGUAAAAAGUAAUGCGCUUGCUCCCGCAGAAGGGGCAACGCCAUCUGAGAAUAGGCCAGUAAUAGUUGAUCAGGGAGGAGUGACUCGAGAAGCUCUCUUCCGAGCUUUGAAUGAUUUGUUUGCCGAGUUCGUUCGUACGAAUCCGGCAGUUAGACCUCCACCCCCUCAUGAUUCUUAGGCUACCCAUGUAGCUCAAGCUUCCCCAGUCACAGGUACACUGGUAAGAGAAAAGCCACCAGUUGAUAGAAUCAGGAAACAAGGGGCAGAAGAGUUCCGAACAACAAAAGAUGAUGAUGCAGAAAGAGCAGAAUUUUGGUUAGAAAAUACUAUCAGAGUCUUUGACGAAUUAUCUUGUACACCCGAGGAAUGUAUGAAAUGUGUAGUAUCACUUCUUAAAGACUCAGCCUACUACUGGUGGAAGACACUUGUAUCAGUUGUACCGAAAGAGAGGGUCACUUGGGAUUUCUUUCAGGAAGAAUUUCGUAAAAAGUACAUCAGUCAGAGGUUUAUUGACCAGAAGAUAAAAUAAUUCCUGGAAUUGAAACAAGGCAAUAUAACGGUGACCGAUUAUGAGCGUGAAUUUGUCAGGCUUAGUAAAUAUGCUCAAGAAUGUGUGUCCACAGAGGCUAUCAUGUGUAAAAGGUUUGAGGAUGGCUUAAAUGAUGAUAUCCGACUGUCAGUGGGUGUCCUAGAAAUAAAAGAGUUCGUUAUUUUAGUUGAGAAAGCCUGUAAGAUAGAGGAGCUGUUAAAAAGAAAAGGCAAAGUUGAGACAGAGACACAAGAUACAAAGAAAAGACAGAUGAGUAGAUCAUUUCAGGCUACAUCCAAGAGGCCCAAAGAGUUUUCUACCAGAUCUAGCUUUUCGGCAAGGCAAUCUAGUCAGAAUAGAGGUAGCAGAUUUAACGAUCCGAAGGCUCAGACCACCUUGACUACGAAUACAAGUAAUGUCAGACAGGGUAGAUCAGGGUGUCCACGGUGUGGUAGACUUCAUUAUGGUCCUUUUCGGGCAGGUGAAAAUGUUUGCUAUAAAUGUGGUGCUCCAGAUCAUUUUGUACGAGAAUGUCUAGAAGUGGCUAGCCGAGAGGUAACACAGAGUGCUAGAUCCGGAAAUGCUCCUACUAGAGGCAGAUCACCGAGGCAACCGGGAGUAGGAGCAAGUAACAGAGGUACCUCUAGAGAUUCGGCUGUGAGAUCAGAUGUUAGAGCCCCUGCAAGGACUUAUGCUAUUCCUGCACGCGAAGAGGCAUCCUCUCCCGAUGUGAUUACGGGUACAUUUUCUCUAUAUGAUAUUAAUGUCAUUGCUCUGAUUGAUCCGGGUUUGACUCAUUCUUAUGUUUGUAUGAACUUGAUGCCUAGUAUAAGUAUGCUUAUAGAAUCUACAGAAUUUGUGAUUAAAGUAUCGAAUCCAUUAGGCAAGCAUGUAUUAGUAGAUUCUAUAGGAUCUACAUGCUUGCCUAAUGGAUUCGAUACUUUAAUCACAAAUUCUGUAGAUUCUAUAGGCAUACUUAUACUAGGAAUCAAUUUCAUACAAACAUAAGAAUGAGUUGAACCCGGAUCAAUCAGAGCAAUGACAUUAAUAUAAUGUAGAGAAAAUGUACCCGUAAUCACAUCGGGGGAGGAUGCCUCUUCGCGUGCACGAAUAGCAUAAGUCCUUGCAGGGGCUCUAACAUCUGGUCUCACAGUCGAAUCUCUAGAGGUACCUCUGUUACUUGCUCCUACUCCCGGUUGCCUCGGUGAUCUGCCUCUAGUAGGAGCAUUUUCGGAUCUAACACUCUGUGUUACCUCUCGGCUAGCCACUUCUAGACAUUCUCGUACAAAAUGAUCUGGAGCACCACAUUUAUAGCAAACAUUUUCGCCUGCCCGACAAGGACCAUAAUGAAGUCUACCACACCAUGGACACCCUGAUCUAUCCUGUCUGACAUUACUUGCACUCGUAGUCGAGGUGGUCUGAACCUUCGGAUCCUUAAAUCUGCUACCUCUAUUCUGACUAGAUUGCCCUGCCGAAAAGCUAGAUCUGGUAGAAAACUCUUUGGGCCUCUUGGAUGUAGCCUGAAAUGAUCUACUCAUCUGUCUUUUCUUUGUAUCUUGUGUCUCUGUCUCAACUUUGCCUUUUCUUUUUAAUAGCUCAUCUGCCUUACAGGCUCUCUCAACUAAAAUAACGAACUCUUUUAUUUAUAGGACACCCACUGACAGUCGGAUAUCAUCAUUUAAGCCAUCCUCAAACCUUUUACACAUGAUAGCCUCUGUGGACACACAUUCUUGAGCAUAUUUACUAAGCCUGACAAAUUCACGCUUAUAAUCGGUCACCGUUAUAUUGCCUUGUUUCAAUUCCAGGAAUUCCUUUCUCUUCUGGUCAAUAAACCUCUGACUGAUGUACUUUUUACGAAAUUCUUCUUGAAAGAAAUCCCAAGUGACCCUCUCUUUCGGUACAACUGAUACAAGUGUCUUCUACCAGUAGUAGGCUGAGUCUUUAAGAAGUGAUACUACACAUUUCAUACAUUCCUCGGGUGUACAAGAUAAUUCGUCAAAGACUCUGAUAGUAUUUUCUAACCAAAAUUCUGCUCUUUCUGCAUCAUCAUCUUUUGUUGCUCGGAACUUUUCUGCCCCUUGUUUCCUGAUUCUAUCAACUGGUGGCUUUUCUCUUACCACUGUACCUGUGACUGGGGAAGCUUGAGUUUCAUGGGUAGCCUGAGAAUCAUGAGGGGGUGGAGGUCUAACUGUCGGAUUCGUACGAACGAACUCGACAAAUAAAUCAUUCAAAGCUCGGAAGAGAGCUUCUCGAGUCACUCCUCCCUGAUCAACUAUUACUGGCCUAUUCUCAGAUGGCGCUGCCCCUUCUGCGGGAGCAGGUGCAUUACUUUCUACAUCAUCAUCACUAGCUCGCCCGGGAUCCAUUACUAUAAAACAUAAUAUUUAAAAAUCGUCAGGAGUCGUCACACUAUCAAAAUACAAGUAUGGCAUGUAUAGCUAGACUUUUUCUCACACUAACUGUUUCGAGAACCGACUAAACCUACUCUGAUACAAAUAAAUGUAACACUCCCACGCCCGAAACCGUCACCGGAGUCAAGCGUGAGGUGUUACUAAACUUAUCUUACCUUUUAAACAACUCUAAACCACUUAUUUUAAUUUUCAGAAUAAACUAUUUUUCUGCGUCAUGGUUGCUUAAAAAUUCAUUUCUCGAGUUUGAAAACUCGAAAUUAAGAUCCGUAAAUUUUUCCUGAAACUAGACUCAUAUAUCUAUCUACUAAUUUUUUUCUAGAAUUUUUGACUUGGCCAAUUAGUACAGUUUAUUAGUUAAAGUUUCCCCUGUUUCAAAACUCGAUUGCACUGACCUCUUCUUACUACGAACCAUGUUUCUUCCUGUAAAAAAUUCAUAUGACUAAGCCGUUUGCUUCUCUUAAAACUAGAAUCAACAAGGAUUAUAACCAUAUAAAGUACACAUUCUAAUUAGUUUUUUAGAAUUUAUGGUGAAUUUCCAAAGUUGAAAUAGGGGAUCCAGAAAUCGCUCUGACCAUGUUUCACUAAAACUCAGAUAUCUCAUAAAAUAUAAUACCUUUACCUGUUUUGCUUAUCCCAUAAGAAAAUAGACAUAAUAAAAUUUAAUUUCAUAUAUUAUUCAUCUUCAAACUAUGUUUCUACAAUUUUUAGUGAUUUUUUCAAAGUUACGUCAUUUCUGUUACUUGAAUCUGUUUUUAGGUUACCUUCACAUUUUUCAUAAUUUUCAUGUGAUAAUCACCAUUCAAUCAUACAUAUUAAUAAACAUGUAUAUGAUCGGUCAUUUUAUUAGCUAAUCACUAGCAAGUAUUUACACAUCAUUCAUUGUUCAUAUUAUACCAAAAGUAGCUAAGUUUCUAUACAUGCCAUACCCAAAACAAAACGUCUAAUUAUACCGAGUUAUUUCUUUGAUAGUGUGAUCGGCCUCCGACGUUUCCUUCGAUCCCCGAGUGGCUAGAUAAGUACUAUAAGAAGAAGAAAAUAAAGAGAUUAAGCACUAGGCUUAGUAAGCUUACAAGCAAAUAAAUCACAACAUUCAAUAUAAUGGAUAAUUAAGCAUAAUAUCAUCUAACAUCAUAAAUUUCUUUACUUCUCAAUUUCUAUCUUCUUCUUUAUUCCCUUACCUUCUUUCUUACCUAACCUUUCCUUUUUCAUAAAUAUUGUAACGACCCGAAUUUUACCGUUACCGAAAAAGUAUAUUUUCGGGUCUCUGUUUCUGAAAAAUGGAUUCGUAAAUAUUUAUUAAAAAUAUUUACGAAGUCAAUUGAGUGGUUAAUUAGAGUUUAAUUAAGUAAAUUUAGUUUAAUUAAGAGUAAUUAGGAAAAAUGACUAAAUUGAAUAAAGGAUGAAAGUUGAAUUGUAGAAUAAAAGAAAAUGAAGAGGACCAAAAUGGCAAUUAUGCCAUUUGUCCUAAGUGAGGGGGCAUAAACAUAAAAAUCUGAGAUUUUUUAUGUGUUAAAAUAUAUAUAUUAAAUUAUUAUUAUAUUAUAGUAUAUUAUAUUAUAUAUUAUAUUAUAUAAAUAAGUAAAGAAACAUAAGAAACAGAAUGAAAGCAAAUGAAACAGAGAAGAAACAGGGGAGAAAGAAAGAAAGAAAAAGGAAAAUUUGGGUUUCAAGGCUCAAAGUUUAAUUUGGUAAGUCAAUUAAGUCAUUUAUUCUUAAAUUUUGAUGUUUUAGAAGCUUUGGAACAAGACUUUGAUGAAAUUAAGUUGAUAUUUUGAGAGUUUAUAGAUUUUCAAGUAUAGUUCAUGUUGAAUAAAAUAGUGAAUUAAGGGUUUAAUUGAGUAAAUUUCAAGCUAGAAUUGAUAAUAGGAUCAAAUUGUAAAGUAAGUUAUAAGUUUUAUGUUGUAGGGACUAAAUUGAUGAAAUUUUGAAAUUAGGAAAGUAUGCUGGAAAUUUAAUAUUUAAAUGAGAGUAUGGAUGAAAUUUGAAUAGAAAUAAAGUAUGAAUUAAGAUAGAAAAGUAAGUGAAUUUAGUUAGAAUUAAAUUGAAAUUAAAGUAAAUCAACAUUUUGUACUAAGACUAUUUUGGACAGCAGUAGUAGUCUAAGUUUGAAAAAUCACCAAAAAUUGUAGAAAUUGAAUUAGAGAUGAAUAAAAUAUGAAAUUAAAUAUUAUUGAGUCUAGUUUCUUAUAGAAGAAACGAUAUAAGCAAUUGAAUUGUAAAUUAUGAGAUAUAAUGAAUUUUGUGAGACAAGGUCAGAAUGAAUUCGGGUUCCCCUAUUCUGACUUUGGAAAAUCACCAAAAAUUGAAUAAAAAUAAUUAGAGGCUUAAAGUUAUAUGUUUAGAAUCCCUAAUGAGUCUAUUUUCAUUAUAAAUCAACGAGAAUGUUAUCCGAGUUCUGUACUGUGAGAUAAUUAAUUUUUAGUGAAGAAGGGACGAAACUGUCAGACAGCAGAAUAGGGGUGAAUUUAAAGAAUAAACUGUACUUAAUGGCUAAACCAAAAAUUCUGAAAAUUUUAUUGUAAGAAGAUUUGUGAGUCUAGUUUCAGGAAAAAUUAGCGGAUCUUAAUUUAGAAUUCUAUAACUCAAGAUAUGAAUUAGUAAUGUAUUAAUGAUUAUGAAUUGUAUUAAUUUCGUAGUUAAUGUGGUACCAGAAAUCUCGGCUAAGAAAGGACAAGACAAAGUCAACGGGAGUUAGCUCGAAAAUUACGGUUUGUAUUUUUAUAAUCCGAACCUAAUACUUAAUUGUUGAAUUUAUUUCUUAAUAUGUAUAUUAAGUGUUUUGAAAUAAGAAUUAUUGUGUUUUGCAAAUGAAAUGGAUUGAUAUAGUAUGUGAUGAAAUUAUUGAAUUUAUAUUGAUUGAAUUGGCGUAUAUAUAUAGAUAUAUAUAUUGAAUAUUGAAUAUAUAUUGAUUAUUUGAAUUGAAUUGAAAUAUAAAUUGUUUGAAAAUUCUAAAUAUGAGAUUUGUGAUAUUUGGAUAUUUGUUAUUGAAAAGUGAAUUGAAUUGUAUUGAAUUAUGAAUUUAUGUGAUUAAUUAAAAUGUGUAUUGAUUGAAAAAAAUUGAAAGUGAAUUGAAUACCCUAUUAACAGUAUCGGACUGAGUCGGAUAUAGUUGGCAUGUCAUAGGAUUGGAAGUGUUCAGGGAUUCUUCGACCUCGAGUCGAUGAGACACUGGGUGUCACUAUAUUUCUUCGGAUAGAUUCGAUGAGGUACUGGGUACCAACUUUACUUCGGCUAGGCCGAUGAGACACUGGGUGUCAAAUAUUGCUUCGAACUAUCCGAUGAGGCACUGGGUGCCAUAUUGGUGUGUUUGGUUGGAUCCGUGUAUCCGCCAAGGUCCGAGUCUUGUUAAUAGGGGUAAAUAAGUGAAAAGAUAAGUCGAGUGAAUUUGAUUGAUUGAGCUAUUGGAAUGAAAUGAGAAAUUGAAUUGAGAAUUGAAAUUGAGAUAUGAGAUUGAAAACAUGAACCAAAAGGUUCAUGAAAUGAGUGAAGUUCAAAUGGAUGAUGAUUGAUGUUAAAAUGAAUUAAAAUGGUAUAUUGUUAAGAAAUAAAGUGUGAAAACAAGUGAAUUGUGAAUAUAUUGUAUAGAAUUUAUACGGUAAGUAAAUGAAAAGAAUUGAACAAAUAUGUUAUUGUGUUUGUUAUAUGACUUGUAUAGAAUUUAUAUGGUAAGUAAUUGAAAAUUUAUCUAUAAAACAAAUAAAUGAAUACUUAUAAUUGUUAUUGUGAUUUUAAGUUUAAUUGUUAUAUUAUUAAGUGUUCGAAUUAUGGAAAUACCAUUGAGUAUACCAUACUCAGCGUACGGUUUGUUUCCGUGCGCAGGUUUAGUAAAGAUAGAACGUUGAAUCAGCAUCCCAGUUCGAUCCCGAAUUCAUUAAGGUAAAGUGUGUUAAUUAUUGGUAAUGGCAUGUACCUAGGAUGUUUUAUGAGAGUCAUUUAGGUUGUAGAUGUACUCAUGAAAUGAGUAAAUUAUGGUUGGCAACGGUAUGUAGUAUGAAUUUUGAAAUUUACUAAAAAUUCGUAGUGAUUCUAAAUUAGUCCCGAAUUGAAUUUACUGUUCAUAUUGGACCGCGAGGGCCCAUUAAAGGGACGACAUCUUAAAACUAGGAUGUGUGUACAUAUUUAUUUUAAUUAAUGACCGAAAUUGGACUGUACUGACUGGUAAUAUCUCGUAACCCUGUUCCGAUGACGGUAUAGGGUUAGGGGGCGUUACAAAUAUAAUCUACUUUUCUUUUGUUGUUAAUUCACUGUAAUUUAACUCGUACCCUGACCCGUUGAACCACUCGGAAUACUAAGGAUACUAUGGUCGUUUCUGUCUUUCAAUAUCCUGCCAAUGUCAUGUCUUUGACAUGGACUUACAUGAAUUAUUCUUGUCUCCAAUGCCAUAUAUAAUAUGGACUUACAUGGCUCAAUCCUUUCUCCAAAGCCAUAUUUCUAAUAUGGACUUACAUGGCUCAUUUCUGUUCUGUCCUAUCAACCCUAAUAUCCUAACAUUCCUAGGGUUCAACCGGGGCUUUCUAACACUUUUCCUCUGUCACUUCACCUUAAAUUCGACUUUAAAUAUUUUCAUAACAUAAAUAUAUAAAUGCUGGAAAUUGACAAUAAUAAUGUAAAACAAAAGAAGAUUGCAUUUAUUUACUGUAACUUACCUUGAUACAAAAUGUGACUAAACAUUACAAUUUAGUCCUUUACUUUUUCUUUUCCCCGAUCUACUCCCGAAUUUCGUUCUUCUUGAUCUAUAAUAGCAAAUUUAACUUAUUUAAUAUUCACAUUUAUUAAAACAGUCCGUGACCCAAACUUUGGAAAAAAUUAUAUUUUUACCCCUAAACUUUCACAUAUUUUCACUUUUGCCCCAAGGCUCGUAAAUUAAACUUUAUCCUAUUUUCUUAUGUUUUAUGACAUGCUGAUCAUUUUUCCCUUCUAUGGCAAUAUCAAAAUCACACUCUAACAUAUACUUAUGACUAUUGGUAUUUUUUUUCGAUUUAAGCCCUUUUACUCGUUUUCCCUUAAAACCGAGUAGCAUAAGUUGUUUAACAUAAUUUAAAACCUCAUAUUCUAUCAUAAAACACCAAAAUACACAAAUUUCAGCUAUGGGUAUUUUUCCAAAUAUGAACCCUAGGUUGAAUUAUUGCUAGAAUAAGCUUAAUCAAGUUACCGGGACUCCAAAAACGUAAAGACCAUUAAAAACGGGGCUUAGAAUCACUUACUAUGAGGCUUGAAAGUUGAAGAAACCCCAGCUAUGGAGGAGAGCAAAAAUCGGCAGAAACUAAUUGAGAAUAUGACCAUUUUUGUGUUAUUUUUCCCUUUUUAAUUCAUUUAAUAUCAAAAUGACCAAAUUGCCCCUCCUUACUAAACUUUCAAAAAUUCCUUCCAUGUCUUAAUUUUUGUCCAUGAACUUAAAAUUGGUCAAAUUAUUAUUUAAACUCUCCUAAUUAAUAUUCCAAAGAAAUUUCAUACUAAAAACUUCUAGAAUGCAAGUUUUGCAAAUUAUUCGAUUUAGUCCCUAACCUCAACUUAAGCACUUUAUGCAUAGAAUUUCAUCACGAAAUUUUCACACAAUCAUGCAAUCAUACCAUGAACCUCAAAAUAAUAAUAAAAUAAAUUUUUCUACCUCAGAUUUGUGGUUUUGCAACCACUGUUUCGUUUAGGCCCUAUUUUGGGAUGUUACACUUGUAGCCGAAGCUACCACUAUUCACUGAUCAGGUAGCCGGAGCUACCACUUUUCACUGAUCAGGUAGCAGAAGCUACCACUUUUCACUUGUUAUUUGUCCUUGAUCAGAUAAGUGUAGCCGAAGCUAUCACUUAUCACUUUCAUUUGUCCUUGAUCAGAUAAGUGUAGCCGAAGCUAUCACUUAUCACUUGUUGCCAUGGUCCAACCAUGGUAUUUUCCUUCAAUUCAUCUUGUCACUGAACUGAAAUGCUGAACUUGAUCAUUUAUUCAAUUUUCAUGCUUUUACAUUAUUCACGAUUUUAUCAUCAAUACAUAUGAAACAACACAUCAUGAAAUUCAUAAAAUUAAAAAUAAUCACUAAAAUUUAGCCAUAUAAACUCACAAGUUCAAUUUUUGUAUUAUAACGAUAAUCAUAAUUUUAUAAUAAAUAUUCCAAAUAAAACAUUAUAUCAUUUCUAAUCCAACACUUAUCGAUUAUAAUCGAGCAUGUGAUCAAUUUAUACACGAGUCAUUCAUAUAUUUUUCCUCCUCCUCCUCUCCAUCCACAUCCUUGGUAUAAAUAACACACUUGUAAGUAACCUUAUCCAUAAUUUUCACUAAUUACUUAUGUGAAUAUUCAGACUACCCACCCAUGUCGUAGUCACUAAAUUAUUUAUAUCUGGAGCUACGGAACUCAAAAUUAAGAUCCGCUAAUUUUAUUUGAAACUAGACUCACAUAUAUUCUUGCCAUAAAAAUUUAUAAAUUUUUGGUUGGGCCAAUUAAUACAGUUUAUUCAUUGAAGUCUCCCCAGUUCUGCUGUUUGACAGUUCCGACCCUUCUUCACUAAAAAUUAAUUAUCUCCUCGUACAGGAUUCGAAUGAUGUUUCCUUUUAUUUAUCUUGAAAAUAGACUCAUCCAGGAUUUUAAACAUAUAAAUUUAAGCCCAUAAUUAUUUUUAUCCAAUUUUUUAUGAUUUUACAAAGUUAGAACAGGGGAACCUGAAAUUAUUCUGACCUUGUCUCACAAAAUUUAUCAUAUCUCAUGAUUUACAAUUCCAUUGGUUACAUCAUUUCUUCUAUAAGAAACUAGACUCAAUAAGCUUUAAUUUCAUAUUUUAUUCAUCCUCUAAUUCCAUUUCUACAAUUUUUGGUGAUUUUUCAAAUUUGGACAACUGCUGUUGUCCAAAACAGUUUUAGUGCAAAAUGUUGAUUUCCAUUUUGCCCCAAAUUUCACAAUUCAUACAAUUGAGUCCUUGCUCAAUUAACCCCUCAAUUAAGAUAAUUUUCUCAAUUAAUACUUUUCCUAGACAUUAUAAGUUAUUUCAUAACUAUUGAAAUUCAUAAUUUCUACAUAAAACUCCAACUUCAAACUCUUUUACAAUUAGGUCCCAAACAUUCACUUUCUAUUCAAUUCUUUCAAUAAAAUCAGCAUAUAAACAAUUUAAAGCUCUAAUUCCAUGCCAAAUCAUUAUAUACUUCCAGAAAAUAUUCAUAGCAACUUUCAAUUUCUUUCAUAGAAUCAAAAACUAAUGAAUUUAACAAGUGGAUCUAGUUGUAAAAGUCACAAAAACACAAAAAAUUCAAGAAAUAAUCAAUAAUUGAACUUACUUGAAGUAAAAACUUGAAGUAAAAAUAUGAAAAAACCAGCUUAAGGGAACCCUUCCAUGGUGUUUUUGCUGAUGAGAAUGCAGAAAAAUAAAGAUAAAUCUAGAUAAUUCCACUUUAGUCCUAGCUUUAUUAAGUAAAUUUUGCAAUUUUCCAAUUUUUCCCUUAAUUCUACUUAUUUUCUUGCUGAUUUCAUGCCAUUGCCAUCCAGCCCAAAGAGACCUUGGGUCUAUUUCCCUUUUAAACCCUCUUUCUUUUAUCAUUUAAGCUAUUUAAUCAUUUUCCAAAAUUUUGCAUUUAAUACAAUCUAGUCCUUUUUGUUCAAUUAACUAUCAGAACUUUAAAAUUUCUUGACGAAACUUUAAUACUGACUUAUUAACACUCCAUAAUUAUUUAUAAAAAUAUUUAUGGCUUGAUUUAAAAUUCCUGAGGUCUCGAUACCUCGUUUUCGAUUCUAAUUAUUUUAAUAUUUAUUUUUAGUACACUAUUCACUACUUCAAAAUUUUUCCUAACUUCACAUUUAAAUUAUACUCACUAAAUUAAUAAUAUUUCCUACUCAUUUGUCGGAUUUAGUGAUCUCGAAUCACUGUUCCGACACCACUGAAAAUUAAGUUGUUACAAAUUGCUCAACCACUUUUUUUUUUUAAUUCGUUACAUGUAAAUUACCAACAACGUUUAAUAAUUUUUACUCAAUUUAUAAAGUAAGAUGAACAAAUAUUGAUGGAAUUAAAGUAAAAGGACUAAUUUCUUAAUUUUUAUAAAGUAAAGGGAUGAAAUUUAGAAUUAGACUUUUUAAUUUGUAAUAUUUUUUCAGCCAUAUUUUGUGUAAUCGUCACUCUUUGAGAUAUUUAUAUAGAUGGAUUUUUUUUAUUACUAUCUAUUAGUUGUGCUUUAAUUUUUUAAAGUUCUUAUCCACUCCAACAUGGAUUUGCUUCCAAUCUAAGGUCAUCAAAACUUUGUUUGUUUCCAAUCAUCAUCGUUCAAUUUAUUUGGUCAAAUUAUUUUUUGGUGGCUCUAUUAUGCUCAAAUUUGAAAUCUAGCCCUUGUGUUUUAAUUGGGACAAUAUACUUUUUGGUUAUUGAAUUUGGCAACUAGUCUUACUUUGGUACUUGUAUUUUUUUUAUCCACUUUGGCACAUGAACUUGACAACUAGGUACAUUUCGGUCCUUGAACUUAAAAAAUAUAAAAGUUUGAUGAUGUAGUACCCUGAUAUUACACCAUAUCGUUACCUGAAAAUUUAUAAAUUUAAUAAUUGAUCCAAUGCUUGAAUAGAUCCGACCAUCAAUUCUCGAUUCAACCAAUUCACUUGAUUCGACCAUUAGACCAACAAAUGAUUAAAAAAUUCAUAAAAAUCUAAAAAACUAAAUUUAUAAAAAAAACUAUUAAACUGGUUCAGCCGGUUCAAACUAUCGUCCAGGUUUUCAAUCUUUUCCAAUUUAAAGUAGUUUUUUAUUCAAUUGGUUCAAGCCUUUUGCUUGAACUAUUAUAUUGAUAUGUUCUUGAUUUGUUCGAUCCAGUCUUAUUUCAAUAACUUUGGUCACAACGUCAAAUCUUGACAUAAUCCACAUUUAAGGACUAAAAUGGAUUUGGUUGCCAAGUUCAAAGACCAAAGUAGACCCAAAAAAAUUACAAAUAUCAAAGUAAACCUAGUUGCCAAGUUCAGGGGACAAUAGUUAUAUUAUCCCAUUUUAACUUGAUAUACUUUAUCAUUUAUUUAACCACAUCAUUAAUGCAAACACAUGUUUAAAUUUCAAUUACAUGUUCUAAAUACGUUUCAUGUCAAUUUCAAUCUAGCAUUUCACACCUAAUAUGACAAAUAGAUUGAUGGAAGGAUUUGGUUGAGACGAUAUUAAUAUUUAAAGGAUUCAAUUAGAAUGUUUUAAAAUUUUGAGAUCAAUUUAAAACAUGUGAAUUUAGAGACUCUAAUGAAAUUAACCCUUUUCCUUUCGUAGUUUUAUAUGGAUAAACAAAAACAUAUGGCGGGUCAUUGGGGCUCUUUGUGCACAAUUGGAUUAUGAAAACAAAAAAUUUAAGGUUGGGUGUUAAAAUUUUAAAUCAAAUUAAAAUCAAGAUAUGAGUAGAGAUAUUUAUAGGUCGAGUUUAACUGUUUAAGUAUAAUAUUAGUAAAUUUUAUAUUUGUUCAAGCUUUAUUUGGUCCGGCUCAAAAUACAUGUUUAAAAUUUUGUUCAGAUCUACUCAUAUUUACAAAUUUUGAACAGUUUCAUUACAAGUUCUAAUUAUAUUUGUUCGUUUUGACACAAUGUCUAAAACGAAGCGUAACCAUCCCUAGUCCAUAAACAAGAGAAUAACAUGCUUUAAUGCAUUCGAACUCAUGUCCUCCUGCAUUGGCAAUAAUAUCCAUACCAAUCAAACUAAGACUCAAUCGACUUAUUUAUUAAAAUUUAUAUAUAAUUAUAUUAAUUUUUUUUGAUAUUUACAUUAUAGUAGUAUUAUAUAUUACUAUAGGUGUAAUUUUUAAAUGUUAAAAAUAACGUAAUAUUUAAAUAUAACAUAAUAUAAAAUAUUAUAAACUUAAAAAAAUGACUGAACCAGAUUAGGUUCGGGCUUUAAAUACUCAAGCAUGAGUCCGGCCCAUAUUUUAAAUGGGUCUAUUUUUUUUACUCAAACUUAUUUUUUAUAUCUAAUAUUUUUGUUCAAACCCUUUUAAACUUCAAAUAAACUUUUAAACAUAGAUAGAUAAUCUAAUUCACAAAUAAAUCGAAUAUUACUUCAAAUAAACUUUUAAACAUAGAUAGAUAAUCUAAUUCACGAACAAAUCGAAUAUAAAAAAUGGCAUAAAAAAAAUCUUCCCCCGUGACAUCACCCAUGAAAAACUCUAUCUAGCACUUAUAUUACAAGUUGAUAUCGAAGACAUUGGAACAUUCUUUAUAUAGCCCCGUUGGUAUGAUUUAAUCAUCCAACAUUUACACAUAUAUGUUGUUUGCUUAUUAAUGAAGAAAACCAGCCCAAUUAAUUAAUCAUGUUGUAAUUUUUAUCAAACAUAUUUUUAGGUAAUCAUAUAAAGAUAUAUCUCUUUAAAUACUUGAAAAUUCAUGAAAAAAAAAACUUAAAUUUUAAUUAUAGAAAUAUAAAAUUUUAUAUUUUUAUUCGGUACUUACAUACUCAAAUUCCUAUUUAAGAUUUUUAGUGCUUAAACUAAAUAAAAUUAUAAACAAAUUUAAUCUCACUUGUCAUCUUAAUAACAUUUUAGAAGUGUGAACGAGACAUCUGUGUUUGACAAAAAAAUAUAAAUAACUCAAAUUAUCGAGUCAACUAAGUUCAAUAUAUCACUAUAUACUCUGAGCAACUUGUAAAUCUAAUCAAGAUUUUUUUUAAUUUAUAAAUAUAUAUUUAAUAUGUUGAUAUUAAUCGAAUUUGAACUAAGCUUCAAAUAAAACAUUUCAAAAUAAACUUCUCAUCUGGAUUUGAUUACAACCCUACAUUAAUUGUAUUUUUUUAUAAAUAUAUCAAUGUUAUGAGUUUGUUUUUCUUCACCAAAUUAAGUUGAGACCCCAAAUUUUAUAUCUUUUAACAUCUGGUAUUUGGAAAAACAAAACUCACAAACAUUUGAAUUUUAUUUUCGUCAAACAAGUUCAUUUAAAAAAAAAAGUUUCAUUGAGUGAAUAAUAAUUGGUGGACUAUAAAAAAGUCAACUUGUCAUGUUCGUUGAAAAAUGAUCGGCAAGUGGGAACACAAAACACUGGUCAACUAAGUCAGCUCUCAUUUAAAAAACAAUAAUAAUAAUUUAAGUACGCAUUUUUUAAAACAGAAUAGAAAAUAUUUAAUUAAUUAGUUCUAUUAAUUAUAAUUUAGAAAACGACUUCCAAUUUAUUUUAUAAUUUAUUUUUUAAAAAAUGUAUGUGAUCUGUUUCAAAUUUCAACUCUUUUUAUUACAAAAUUAACAUGAAUUAAUUAAACUAGUGUGAACUCAAAAUACUGGUCAAUCAAGUCAACAAUUUAUUUUUAAAAAAAUAACAAAUUACUAAUAAUCAUUUAGUUUGGCAUGUGUAUUUUUUAUAUUCUAUUAAAAUGGUUUUAAAUUUUAAUUAUACUAAUUAAUCUAUAUAAUUUCCCGGAUAUCAUUUAUUUGAAAAACUACAUAACAUUAAAAUAUCUUGUCCGUAUUUUCUUUGACUUGUAAUUAAUGUCAAUUAUAAUUGUCACCGACCAUUUUUUUGCUAAAAAAAAAAGAUGUCUUAGAAUUAUAGCUUUUGUUAUAAUUAUAGUAUAAUCAUAUAAUUUAAACUAAAAUAGUUAUAAAAAUAAAAUAUCACGAGAUCCUUGUGUUAAUGUCAAUUUACAUUUUGCCUCAUUUAUUUAAAAAAUGAUUAAAUUAAUCUAAGUAUAAAAUAGAUGAAUUUUUUAAUAAAACGAUCAGAUUAUUCUUUGAUCAAAUGUGCAUUAAUUAAUUUAUCAAUUUUUGAAUAAAAAAUGUCAAAUACGAUCUGAAUCUUAAUAUAAUAGCUUCCAUAAUAAUUUUAUUAUAGAUAACUAAUACACAAAUGAAAUUCAAACCUAAAUUAUUAUUGAUAUUUAGAUUAAUUUUAUGGUCCGAAUUAUUAUUAUAUCUACAUAGUUAAUUUUUAAACAUAUAUUAUUUAAAUUGUUAAAUAAUAAUCCGAAUUAUAAAUCAAUUUGAAUUAUGCAACUUAUGAUGUAAGGCCGGAUCCAGACUCAUACAUAGUUUGUUUGCAGUUACCCUUUUUGGUAAUUUCGCAUUGCCUUCUCUCCCAUUCUAACGAACCUUCUUACCAACUUUUCCUUUUGCCGACAUGUCCCUCCCACAGAUUUAUUUGGAAACCAAUGACCACUCUCCAUCUAAAACAAUUUACAUAUAUACUAAGAAUAAAUUUAAAAAAAAAUUAAAUUGAAUUAAAAUAAUAAAAUAAAAUUCAUCCAUUUUAAUAAUUUAAAAUAAAUUUUAUUCGAUUCAAUUUAAAUAGAUCUAACAUUCAACCUAAAAGGUUCGAGUAUCACUAUAUUCAAGUUUUUCUAAAUUUAUUUUAACGUAAAAAUUAUAACCUUAAUUCAUAAAAUCUGUUACCAUUUCUUCCCAUCAUCUAUGGGUUGAUAUUGAAUAAAAAUUAACAUUUAAAAUCAUAUUUAAUAUUUAUUUAAUAUCGAAAUUAUAUUUAAAUUUAUUUAAUUUUGGAUCCACCAUUUUUAUUCCAAAGUCCAAACCGAGUGGUGUAAUUUCUUUUUAAUAACAAAAUUAUUUUAAAAAAUCACACGGAAACAUGAAAAGUCAACGUCAACGUCAAAUCUAAAUCGCUUAUUAUACCGCGUUCACACCGUCGCUAAGACACGCGCUUCCUUAGACACAUCUCCAACCGCGUUGGCUACCAUACGUAUAUAUAUAAAUCCUGCGUUCCCAUCUUCAAUUUCAAAUUCAUUUUUGCGUUCAUAUUUCGUCAAACCAAAAAUCAAACCCCAUAAAUUAUUUCAUGGAAAUUGGGUCUUCCCAAUUCUUUGCCGCUGAAGUUCUUGCUUAUAACAACACCGGCAUCAUCACCGGCACCGGCGGAGGAGACGGCGGCAAUUUUUAUUGGUUUCAGGAUAUGGAAGAUGACAAGAAAAGGAGUGGAAACAACGAGUUUAUGGAUUUACAUUCUUCGAUUUCGCUAUUCGAUGCUGAAAUGAAGCACGAGCAACUUCAGUGGUUUACUGAUCCUGAUCAAGGAAGAGGAGCUGUUUUUGAAUCGAAUUACAGUGAAACGAAUGAUUAUUUCGAUCAAAUUCAAAGUCAUUACACUGAAAUCGAUGAAUUUGAUGAUUCACGGAAGAAACGCGCGAGAAAAUCAAGUUCACCGGUAUCUGUUCCGGCGACGGAGGAUUCAGGUCCAUCGCAAUCAGGCGGAACAGGACGGCGGUUAUGGGUGAAAGACAGAUCCAAAGACUGGUGGGAGAAGUGCAACCACCCGGAUUUUCCCGACGAGGAAUUCAAACGCGCGUUUCGAAUGAGCAAAUCGACGUUCGAUAUGAUUUGUAAAGAGCUUGAAUCAACGGUGAUGAAAAAGAACACGACGCUCCGCGAUGCGAUACCGGUUCGUCAACGCGUUGCGGUCUGCAUUUGGCGUUUAGCCACCGGUGAACCGCUCCGAAUGGUAUCAAAACGGUUCGGUUUAGGAAUUUCAACUUGCCAUAAGCUAGUUUUAGAGGUUUGUGCCGCCAUUAAAACUGUUUUAAUGCCUAAAUAUGUCCAAUGGCCCGAUGAAAACAAAUUAAAUAAAACCAAAUCGGAGUUCGAAUCCGUCACCGGAAUCCCAAACGUCGCCGGCGCUAUCUACACCACUCACGUCCAGAUCAUCGCUCCAAAAUCCAACGCCGCCGCAUAUUUAAACAAGAAACAAACGGAGAAAACCCAAAAACAAUCGUAUUCCAUCACACUCCAAGGUAUCGUAGACCCAACCGGCGUUUUCACUGACGUUUCAAUUGGUUGGCCUGGUUCAAUGUCCGACGAACAAAUCUUCGAGAAAUCGGCGUUUCAUCAAAGCGCCGUUAAAGGCCAAGUAAAAGGCGUUUGGGUAGUCGGAAGUACAGGGUACCCAUUAAUGGAUUGGGUUUUAGUUCCUUACGCUCAUCAAAAUCUAACUUGGACUCAACACGCAUUCAAUGAGAAGAUCGAAGAGAUUGAAAAAAUGGGUAAAGAAGCAUUUGCGAGACUGAAAGGAAGAUGGUCGUGUUUGCAGAAAAGGGCUGACGUUAAGCUUCAAGAAUUGCCGGCUGUGCUCGGCGCUUGCUGUGUUUUGCAUAAUAUUUGUGAGCUUCGAAAUGAAGAAAUGGAACCCGAGCUUAAAAUUGAAAUUUCCGAUGAUGAAGUCGUGCCGGAGAAUAAUUUGAGAUCCAUGGUUGCCGUUCAAGCUAGGGAUUAUAUUGCUCAUAAUUUGCUUCACCAUGGCCUUGCCGGUACCGGUUUUCUAUAGUGAUUUCAUUAUAUUAUCCUUAGUUAAAAAAUUUUGUAUUUUUUUUAGUGUGUAGUCCAAUAAUAAUAGGUAGAUAGGCAGAUUUUGAUUGCAUUUUUUGGGGGUAUGGAAUAAAAAAUUCUAUUUGACUUUUUAGUUAAUUAAUUUUUAUUGACUUUUUUAAUAAAUAAAUUUAAAUUUUGUGGAUUAAAAAAUAUUGGAAGAACUAAUUUAUUUUCAAAUUAUGUUACAUAAAACGAAACAAUUGACCACUUACAAUUUAAUAGUUUAUGUUUUGUUGAUUGUAUUAAUAUUUUCUUUAUCAUAAAAAAUCAUCAAAAAAAUAUUCUCUG
rnacentral:lncRNA from 1 species